rnacentral:lncRNA from 1 species
CAUUGGACUACAGCUCGCAUGCCUCCCGUUUAGUCAAUCAACUGUCCGCACAACACCUCCUAGCCAUUAAAAGAGUGAGGUGUGGAGUCACGUGAAUGGUUAACAGAACGCACACGAUUUAAAUUAUACAACACGUUUGAGAUGUUAAAGUGGCAGCUAUUUGUUUCAAAAUGCCUUUGUUGGCUGUUAUUCGAGUGUGCAUUCUCUCAAAACGGACACGAAAAAUACCACAGCAUGUCGGGUGCCAUUCCAUGAUAGCAUGCCAAGUUUCAUGAAUUUCAGACGAGUUUUGGAUUUACUAGAAUUUAAAAACAAGGUAUGUCAACAUUUUGCCGAUAAUCAACGGUGCCCUGGUGUUCGAAAUUCAUUCCCAUUUCUUGCAGGGGACCUAAGCAUGCACCCAAGGACACACAUUUGAUAUGUCAACCACUUUUUCUGCAUUGGAGCAUGUGCAUGUAGUUCAAAUUUGAAUUAUGCACAUAAAAUGCCUAGAAAACCUAGUUAAUGUAUAAAAACCUCGUGGCGAAUCCCGAAAAAUCCCCAAAAAUUGAAACAAUGCUCCUGUUGGUCUAUGUUGACACUAGAAAAAUUUUGAAAACAAGAAGAGGCAACGGAUAUCAUUUCAUCCCCACAGGUGGCGCAUUCCCUAUCAAAACUAUCAGGCUUGUUGUGAGAAGCUCUGGUUUGCGAGAAGCUUAUUCCCAAACCUGCCCCAAAUGGGACAAAUUUUUACCACAACAUGUUGAUGCCACUCCAUGAUAGCAUGCCAAGUUUCAUGAAUUUCAGACGAGUCUUGGAUUUACUAGAAUUUAAAAAUGAAGUAUCUCAACAUUCACGGCCGAGCGACAAUGGCAUGGUGCUUGACAUUCAUUCCCAUUUAUUGCAUGUGACCUAAGCAUGCACCCAAGGACACAUAUUUGAUUUUUCAACCAAUUUAUAUCCAUUGGAUCAUGUGCAUGUAGUUCAAAUUUGAAUUAUGCACAUAAAAUGCAUAGAAAAUCCAGUUAAUGUAUGAAACUGUCCAAACGAACCCCAAAAAUUCCAAAAUUUAACACAACACUCCUGUUGUUCUAUGUUGACACUAGAAAAAAAAUUGAAAGCAAGAAGAGGCAAGGGAUAUCAUUUAGUCCCCAAAGAUGGCACGUUCCCUACAAAAACCAUCAGGCUUGUUGUGAGAAGCUCUGGUUUGUGAGAAGCUUAUACCCAAACCUUUCUCAAAUGGGACAAAAAUUUUACCACCGCAUGUUGAUGCCGCUCCAUGAUAGCAUGCCAAGUUUCAUGAAUUUCAGACGAGUUUUGGAUUUACUAGAAUUUAAAAAGCAUGUAUGUUAAUGUUUGCGGGCGAGCGACAGUGGCAAGGUGUUUGAAAUUCACUCCCAUUUCUUGCAUGGGACCUAAGCAUGCAACCAAGGACACAUAUUUGAUUUUUCAACCAAUUUAUAUGCACCACAGUAUGUGCCUGUAGUUUAAAUUUGAAUUAUUCACAUAAAUCCAUUGAAAACUCAGUUAAUGUAUAAAAAUGUCCAAACGAACCUUGCUAAUUUCCAAAAUUUAACACAACACUCCUGUUGUUCUAUGUUGACACUAGAAAAAAAUUGAAAUCAGUAAGAGGCAACGGAUAACAUUCCCUACCAUAACCACGAGGCUUGUUGCGAGCAGCUCUGGUUUAUGAGAAGAUUAUACCCCAACCUUCCCCAAAUGGGACAAUAUUUUUACCACGACAUGUUGAUGUCGUUCCAUGAUAGCAUGUCAAGUUUCAUAAAUUUUAGACACAUUUUCAAUUUACUAGAAUUUAAAAACAAUGUAUAUCAAUGUUAGUGGUCGAGUGACGGUGGCAAGGUGUUUGACAUUCAUUCCCAUUUCUUGCAUGUGACCUAAGAAUGCAACCAAGGACACACAUUUGAUUUUUCAACCCGUUUAUAUGCACUGGAGCAUGUGCAUGUAGUUCAAUUUUGAAUUGUGCACAUAAAUGCCUAGAAAACUCAGUUAAUGUAAAAAAAUGUCCAAGAGAACCUUGAAAAAUCCCAAAAAUUAACACAACACUCCUGUUGUUCUAUGUUGACACCAGAAAAAAAUGAAACAAAGAAGAGGCGACGAAUAUCAUUUUGUCCACAAAGGUGGCACGUUCCCUACGCUACAAAAAAAGACACAUCUAUGAUAUUUUGGGCUUAACAAAAUUUGUCUAUCAUGCUUAUGACUCUUCUAUGACAAUAAUUGUGACAAAACCCGGUAUCAUCAUAGAUGUGGUGGGCGCCUACUUAUAUGAAAAAAAUCAUGACAGAAAAUGGGAUUUUCCUCCUGGGCGGGCCGGAGACACAGCUGCAUGACAUUCUUUGGGCCAUCCAUGACGGAAAAAACCAUGGUAGAAGCGAGGGCGAGCAAAAUUUCAGGGAGUUCUCGGUUACGGUGGGUGGUCGGGGCCGAGUGAUGCACGGAGGUUUGCUCGUUUCUCUCAUACACUACAUGCGUCUGUGCGAGGCGUUGGGCUCUAACUGAACCCGUGCAAGGCGUUCGCUUACUGAACCCAACGGAUUGCACUGGCUACAUGUUACUGAACCCAAACAAUCGAUCGAUCCCUGGCUGUUAACUAGACCCAAUCGAGCGAUUCCUUUGGUAUUGCUACUAAUUGAAGUCGAUCGAACCUGCUGCCUCUUGAUGAGCAGUGAGCGUUGUUUGGGGUUGGAUGAACAGUUCCCGGUGGGGGCUGGAUGAACAAGACCCCGUGUGGAGGGCUGGUUGAAUAGUAAUUGGUGGAGGCUGGAUGAACAGGACCCCAUGGAGGGAUGGUUGAAUAGUAGCCGGUGGAGGAUGGAUAAACAGGAGCCCGUGGAGGAAGGAGGAAGACGCCGUGGAUGAACAAUAGCAAGUGAAGGCUGGAGGAGGUCGAUGAUGGAUGAACAAUAGCCCGUGGAGUCCCAUUUUGCAGCACGCCACACCCCUCCCGAUGAACAGGACCCCGUUUUGAUUGUAGGAGGUCGAAGAGAAGUUUGUUUCCUUCGUUUUGCGGUACUCCACACCCCUCUUGAUCUAUAGGACCCUGUUUCAACCGUAGGAGGUCGAAGAGAAGUCUAUUUCCUCCGUUUUGCGGUAUGCCAGACCCCUCCUGAUGAACAGGAUCCCGUUUCGACCGUAGGCGGUCGAAUAGAAGGCCAUUUCCUCUGUUCCGUAGUACGCCAUGCCUCGUUUCAGCUGUUCCGUCCAAGCCGGUUGGCUCUCAAUGAACAUGACGCAUUCUGUUGCCUCCCGAUGAACACGAUGCAGUUUCUCCAUUCCGACAUAGCCGGUUGGCUGCCGAUGAACAUGACGCCGUUGUUGCCCUCCGCUGCCUCUCCAUGAACAUGAGCCCUGGCCGUACGUAUGCACGAGUAGGCAUUCCAGACCCCACCCGUACAUACGUUAACGUAUUUACUAUCUUGCACCCUUGUUGUACGUAUGUGUACACGAUAUAGACAGGACUGCAUGACAUGCUAUGUCUGCGCCUCUACUAUUACACAUGCCCUUCCUUACUCCUCCACGGUUCAUCGCUGCAGCCUGCAGAUAGACCGAUCGACCAGUAUGUACGUACACGUUCGAGACCAGAUAGACAACCCUACAUACGGUUCGACUAGGUGGGUCCCAGCUGUCAGGGAGGUAAGGAGGCACUUUCUUGCGUGCAAAUAUAUAGCUAAUGGGCCCCAGCUGUCAUGGGGAGAAUCGUAUUUUUUGCCCGUAAUAUGGACACACUUCCUUGCGUGCGAAUAUGUAGUUCGUGGGUCCCAGCAGUCAGGGGGAAAUGUUGUUUUCAUGAAAUACGGUGGAUCCCUGCUAUCAGGUGGAGGAAUAAUUAUUUUGCGCGUAAUAAGGAGGCAUUCCUUGCUGCGGCCGUGGACCAAGCUUUCAGUCUCUCCACAUACAGUCCUCUUCUGAUGGAAGUCGUUCCUUGACCACAUUAACCACGGCGCGCCGAGAGCACCACGUCGGUGGACGACGGUGAGGCCUAGGAUGGGGAUGACGCGAAGCCGGGGAAGAUGUGACAGUGGAUGCCCAUGCGGAGAGGAGUACAAGGGUUGACUGGUUCGGCUGCGGUGUGAGGUUGUCGUCGCCGCAGAAUUACAGGGGUUGUGGGUGAGUAGAGGGAUGGCCUGGCCAGAGGUUAGAGUAGGGUGGGGCAGUGAGGCCUGCAUGGAAGCAGAGCCGGCUAUGGGAGGCAGGAGCAGGCGGCACGAUCGGCGCUGGUUAGGGUGGCUGGAGUAAGAAGACCAGAGGUUGAAGAAGCACUACAGUUGUUGGAUGGACAUCGUACGGUCACUGGAGCUAGAAUCGUUCAUAUUGACUAAGUUGACAAAGCCCUCCAUCCGCGUCAACUUAGUAAACCCACAAGUCAGCCUCCCACUAUGGUGGGUCCUAGCUAGUAGGGGAGUAUUCAUUUUUUUUGUGAGUAAUAAGGAGGCACUUCCUUGCAUGCGAAGAUAUAGCUGGUUGGUCUGAGUUGUCAGUGCGAGGAACGUUUUUUUGCGAAAUACGGAGGCCCUUCCGGUGGGUCCUAGCUAUCAGGUGGAUGAAUCAUUAUUUUGCGUGUAAUAAGGAGGCACUUGCUUGUCUUGGUCCCUACUAUCAGCCUCUCCACUUACAUCCCUCUUCUGAUGGCUAUUGUUUGUUGACAAUGUUGACCACGCCGCGCCGAGAGCAAAAAUGCGAUGGAGGAGGGCGAGGCCCAGGAAGGGAACGACCCGGAGCCGGUGAAGCCACAACAGCGGAUGCCCACGCUAAGGGGAGUACGAGCGCUGACUGGUCGACUGCAGGAUGAGGCUGACGUCGCCGAAAAUAACAGGAUGUGUGGGUGGGUAGAGGGAUGGCCCGGCGGCAGCACAGCCGGCCACAGGAGGAGGGAGUAGGCAGUUGGAUGGACAUCCAACAGUCACUGCUCUGUGUUGACUAUGUUGACAAAGCCUUGCAUACGCGUCAAAUUUGUUUCGUACAGCGUCAUCAUCAACCUAGUAGGCCCAGAAGUCAGCCUCCAAAUCUGUGGAAAAUAGCAUACAGCCCAUUAGCCAUUAUUUUCAAUAAUUUAUAGCCCAUUUGCUAAUUCUUAAGGAUAUUUUAAAGCCCAUAUUCUUUUUAUUAGCAUUACAGACCAUAUUUUGGGCACUGUUAAAAAAUUCAACGAAAUUUUGUGUAUUUUGGUGUGGUCUGAACUCUUUUAAUCACGAAAUUUCGAGUCAUGUUAAAAAUAAUUUUCAAAAAAUAUAUCAAAAAAAAAAUUCCGCAAAAAAUGAAUGAAAUUUAAAAUCUUGACUAGCAAGAUGCUCGUGCAUUGCACGAAACAUCAAGAUGCAUUUGUACGAGUAGUUUAUCUUGUUGGAGAAAAGGAUGAAUGAGGGAAGGCCUUAUCUGCAAAUGGGGAGAGGAGUGCGGUUAAAUUCUCAUAGUUUCCUUCCUAUCCGUUAGAUAUAGAUCGGAUGGCCUAUAUUGCAGGAUGGCACGCACACCAUCAUCACCAACUCUGCUUUGUAUAAGAGUAGAGAAAUCCAGAAAAAAUGAUAUUUGGAUGUAAUUGCCUGUUGGCAUUGUUUUAAAAAUUUACAUCCCACUUCUUACAACUUAUAGCACAUUUUCUGUGGAAGCCCAUUUCUAACUACUUACAUCCCUCCUCAUCUUGAAAGAUUUGCAGCCCAGUAGGGCUGAGAAAAGCAAGUAGGCCUUGGUUGGGUAUUGUCCAAAAAAAGAACUAGGCUAGCCAUUUCAUAAAGAAAAAUAUAUCAACUGGGCUCGUCAUGUGCUUAAAUAAAAGCAUAAGCGUGGGCUAAACGGGCCACAACCCCCACAUAACACGCAGCUGAGCUCCGUCUCUAAAACUAAAAAACAACUGGGCGAGCUGCUGGGUCCCUGGUGUUAUCCGCUCUUUGUGUAAUUUUCUCGUUUUCACAAUGGCGUGGGACCUAGUUAUCAAACAAUUAGGAGGAAGUAUUUUUGGCUUGUAAUAACGAGGCACCUGAUUGCGUAAUGCAAUGACCCUGGUGGGUCCCUACUGUCAGCCUCUCCACGUACAGUCAUCUCCUGAUUCCUCUUGGUUGUUGACCUUGUUGACAAUGCCAGCGGUGGUAGGCACAGCCAGCGAACCAAGGCGGAGAACGACGGCAUGGCCUUGGACAGGAACGAACAGGAGCCGUGGAAGAUGCAGCUAUGUAGUGGCAGGCAAAGGGGAGUACGAGGGCAAUAACAUGUAACUCAAGCUUACAAAUGGUACAAAAAGCCCAAGGAUUAAUUGUUCAUCAAAUUUAGACAAAACCCAGAUUGAACAUGGCAAUAACAUCUAACCCAACCACUCAUUUUUGCAGCCAGAAACAAAUGGAUCAGUCUGAUCCAUAAAAUCAACAUCCUGUGGAAAAAAAUUAUUGGAGGAUGACUACAAGUUAUUGUAGAUAUAAGCCGAGCAUGUUUAGAAGCCCAUUUGUCCACAUGAAACUUCUUUUUUUGCCGUUCAGCAUGUUCGUCCAUGAGAAAUCUCUUGUUGAAAAACAUAAGCCUCAUGGACAAUAGUAACCCUGCAUUCAACAGGAAGAAUGUGACAAAGCUUCUGUUUGCCUGGUUGGAUGCAUAUCCCUCCAUCAUUAUUGUCCUCAAACGAAUGUCAUGAGAACUAAGAGAAUCCUGGUGCUUAUUACGCCACCGAUUGGUUAUAUGUUUUUCUCCAUGUGUUAGGGCAGGGCAACUGGAGUGGAUGAUGCUGUGCAGUGAGGCCUCCGACAGAUAAACCACCACAAGCGAAAGUUUUUUUAGUAAUGGGAGUCGAAGCAUUUGUACCAGAUCGUCUGGUAGAUGGCAGCAGGCGAAGGUGGCGAUGUGCAAAGAGGAGAAAAACCAUGGGAUGGACAACGGUGGUGUGGUCACAAAUUCUUGGUGUUCGGUUUGUGGUAUGAAACUUUCGUGGUAAUGGUAGAACUCAAACUGCUGGAUUUUUUGAAUUUAGGGGAUAUCAGCCAAGCGUCCACCGUGCAGGGUAUGGAAAACAGGUAGCAUGUCGGGAUGUAGAUGCAUUGAACGGGGCCCUUCUGGUGAGACGAGAUGAAUGGCUCUGAGGAGAUCAAAUUUAGGAAGGACAUAUAUCUGACGACGGUCGAGAUUGAGGGGCACGAUGUGCCAUAGAGGGCGCCACCGAGUUGAGAGGACUUGUGUGUGGCGGCAAUCCAUGGUGGGGAGAAGCAAGAUGAUCUCGCCAAGGAUGUCUUCUGGGAGAUUGCUAACGUGGUCCACCAGCGAUUCUACGGGUUCCUUAGAUCUAGGUGGGGGGGCUCACUGCUUCUCCCCGCAUUGCCGGGUAUAGGAUCUACAACCGGCAUCGCCGCUGGCUGGAGCCUCAUCUUCUUGGCGCUAGGGCUAGCCGACUCAAUUUUCCUUGCGGCCGUUGUGCCGAGCUCACGAGUUUGAGCAGAGUAGAUAGAGAUGAGCCUACUGGCAGUGCGAGUGGGGAAGAAGGAGGGCUGGGGUUUUCUGUUGGAGUGGAAGAAGAGGAGCACACGUCUUCUAUACGAGUGAGGAAGAAGGUGAGCGGGGGUUUUCUAUAUGAGUGAGGAAGAUGGGGGGUGGGGGGAAUUGGCGGGCGGACGCGGGAGAGUCCAGCAAGCUACAGUAUAAGUGGAAGUGAGGAGGAAGGAGGGUUUUUCUAGGAUCACCCCCUCUUCAAGAAAUAUGGGCUUCUCCUCGCAAAAAACAAAAACAAAUGGGCUUUAAGAUGGAUAGGCUUUUGUAUCGGCCCAGUCGGCUGCCCGUAUUUCAUACUGGAGGGCCUUAACACUAGAGGCAGACCAUUAGAGACACACUCCAGCUCUCCGACUUUUUGCCCAUUCGAAAGAAAAUAAGAGACGCCUCCAGCUUAAUUAUGGCUCCUCAUCAGUAACAUUUUUCAACUUGAAAAAAAGUUAUAGCUCCUUUUCGAGCCGGCUUGGCAUCCACCAAAUUAGAGGAUGGCGUACUCCAUGCAGACACUCCCAUUGGUCGUAGCACAGCAAAAUGAGGGGUCAAAUAACAUGCCCGCAAUAUACAUAGAUUGUAAAGGUUGACACGCUAACAUUCACACUAAACUAAGCUUCACAAGAUACGGUAUGCAUACUAGCUAACAUUCACAAGCACUUAAGUACAAUAUGUUUAUGCAUCUAAAUGAUUCACAAGACUAUAACCAAGACAAAGCUGUGAGGAUGUGUAGAAAUAAAGAAAAAAUGAUAGAUGCUUCUCUAAGCUGUGAGGUCAAAGUCGUUAGAACAUUCGUAACAAGAUGAUACGAGCUCCGAAAAUGCAAAUAAGAUAUCUGGAUGUUCAGAAAACAUCACCUACAUUUGCAUGUAAUUUUUAUUCAUGAAAAAAUAUUUUUAUACCUUUUUACUUUUAAUAAUAUUAAUAACAUUAAUUACCUCAGGUAGUUUAAAGGGUGAUUUUGUCCUGAAUGCAAAUGAUAUGCACAUACAGGUAAUGUUUAUCUGAACAUUUUGAUAUCUUAUUUGCAUUUUUCUGAGUUCAUAUGAAUUAUUUAUGAAUUUUCAAAGUUUUGGUCAAAUGGUCAAAGGGCAUUCGACGGACCACGACUGAAAAAGUAAGGCCAAAACUGAGCAAGCUCGAAAACUAAGGGCAAAACCCGUGGGUAGGAACCAACUAGGGGUAAAAAUGCAAUUGUCCCAUCAUUUUAUAUUCUGUAUGUGCCAUUGAGGAACAUAGAUUUAUUUAAUACUGACACAUCAAGUCGAACUUUGUUCCGUCUGCGCGUGGUACAUGACCCUCCUUCGAGUAAACAACUGCUACAUGCAUCAAAUUAUCACGUGGGCUGCCUUUUCGUACAAACAUGAACUCCACUGUGUACCCGUGCAGGUGUAGUUGGGAACAAGAUGUGAGUACGUGCGUCAUGCGAGCACCUCUUCUUUAGGUGCAGGUUCAUACGUGGGUUGGUGUGAGAGAGAUGGUUUGUGCGAAACAGAGGCAAUGUGUCGGUGAUAUCUCAAACAAAAAAACAUAACAUUUGCAAUGUGUGUGAAACAGAGUCAUGGAUAUAUCAUAUAUAGAGGGUGUGAUCCACGAGAAGAGAGUGGAGGGAUCAUCAGCGUGAGAUUGAUAGAAUCCAAAAUAAGGAUGAAGUUUGUGGUUGCGCGAUCGAUAAAGAGUGCCAUCGAAUUUGUGUUUGCCCAUGUCAAAGAUACAGGGCGGCUGGCCUACUGGACUUUGAGAGGGCAGAGGUGCAAUUUUUUUCUCUGACCUGAAUACCUACCUACAACGUUCGACUAUCGGUGUGUGGGGGUGGAGGGGGCACAGACCUAACCAUAGAGAGGUAGACCGACUAGUAUAUGUGUGGAGAAGGAGAGAGACCUAGCUAUGUGUUGAGGGAGAUCGAUCGACAUCCAUGCGUAUGUGUAGUAGAGGAAUAAGGUUGGGAGAAAGACAAAGGUAGAGUGUUGGAGGGUUGUUGGUGGAGUUGCUUCUCACAAAUGGUGGGAGAGGCCUGCUAGACAAAUGGAGGUACGAGUGCAAUAUCAAUAAGAGAGGGCCGGGGAUGUCUACCUGUUUAUGCAUGUGCGUGUGAGAGACGGGUCGGGAGGUAUGCAAGGAUGAUGAGGAGGGAUGAUAUUGUUGUGGUAAGCAGACAUAACUACAUAGGAAGAUCAACCAUCGUGUGUCUGAGAAAGGGAGAGACAUAACUAGUGAGGUAAGUCUACCGGUGCGUGGGGAAAAAGAAUUAUAGUCGACCUAGCUAUAUGUAGGGAGAUUGGUACGUAUACAUGCAUGCAUGUUUUAUCAGAAAAUAAGGUCCUUAGAGAUGGACAGGGGAGAGGGGUGUGGCUAGGAGGGUGGUGCGAGAGGCCUACUAUGUCGAGGGGGGAGGAGUGUGCGACUAUGAGAUUGAUGAAAAGAGGGGUGGGAGUGCGCACCUGCAUGGAACCGUAUUAGACAUAGGGGCAUGGACGGUGAGAAGAGAAGAGGGGAAGUGUGUGUUUGUGGUAGGCACACUUGGCUAGAGAGGUAUAUCCACCGGUGUGUGCUGGAAAGAAGGAGCCGGGGGGCCUACACACACUGUGGGUGAACGACCUAAAGAGAAAUAACGAAUGUGCGUCAUGGAGGGGACGUUGAGGGAGGGUGAGAGGGGGGCGGUCGUGUGCAUGCACGAUAGAAAGUUAGCGCUAGCUAGCUACAAAGAGAAGAGGACUGUGAAGGUGUAAAAGACGAACAGAGAUCACAAUUCAUUAUAAAAAAGUGGAUACGAAUAUUUGAAGAAGUUAUCAUAAUGUAGAACAUUGAUUAUAAUUUGGGAUAAUGUGUUCCUUUUGCAGCUCAGGGCUAAAUACUUGUCAUAAUGUUGGGGGCGGGGCACUAUACUUUGUGUGAUAAACACGUUGUACGUAUGGAACAUGGUUUAGAUUAUGAAUAUCUAGAUAGUACAUCAAAUGUAAUAUUAUUUGGAAUCAACAUCAAGUGUGUUCAAAAAAUUGGAUUCGAGUUCAUAUAGUACACAUAGUUCAUAUCUAUCUCUAUAGUAAUCAUGUGGUGUGGUGUUAAGGUAAUACACGAAUGAUGGUUUAAGUUGGCAACAAUCAUGAUUGUAGAUUCUUAUUCAAAUAGAGAAAUGAAUUCAAAUUUAGUUCGAAUUGCAGCGGUAGUAUAGACAUUUGUAAUGCAUUAAAAUGUUGGUAUGAGUAGGUUACAUGCAUUACACAGCCAACGAAAAAAUUUAAUUGGACAUAACAUGGAUUCAUAGCUUUGAAUAGCAUUUGUAUAGUAAACUGGGACACGACUCUCUCUUUGUGUGGUGUGAAUAGUUUUAUUUUUUGUUUUUUUUCGUUGAUGGAAGUGUGAAUUGAUUUGGUACAUACAAGUACAAUAUUACACGUUAGGCUUGUCCCUAAAAUUCAACCCGUGCCUUGUUAUAUCCCAAAAAUUCAAAUAUCGUGCUCGCAAAACUCGCGCCUUCACAACCCGCGCCUUGCUAUCCCAAAAUUACAAUGCACACGAAAACUCCCCCUUCUAACCCUAAGCCGAAAGGGCCGCUAGUUCAUAUCGGUGGGGGUACUUUUCUAACACACCCUACAUUUUGGAUAAGCGCGUCCCUAAGUCAUGGUUCCCCCCUCCCAUCGCCUCCUUUUCGCCAUUCAAAAUCCCAGGCCGCCAUAACCUCUCUGCUCCAGCCGCGAAACCCGACCCUCCUUUGUCUGCCGCCUCACUGCUGCCUAGUCGGAGCCUCUUCUCGGACGAUGUCGUCCACCGCAAUAGCUCGACAUCCCUCAUCCACCUCCUCGGAUGAGGAUCCUCGUCCAUCUCAUCGUCCCACCGGUUCAACCACCCCGUCCUCCACCUCCAAGGAGCUGCUCCGAUGAUCGCCUCGUCUAUCGUGGCUGCUCCAUCCCCACAGCACCGCCUUAACCUGCUCCACGGGAACCGCAACAUCCUCACAGACUCCUGGGACGAAGUCGAGGCCUACUCGGCGCCACCAAAGAGGUUGUACACACAUCGCAUGGCACCUUCUCCUUAACUCGACCUCCCGACACCGACGAUGCUCGAUCCUGCACCCACAUGGCGCGCCUACCUUGAAGCCGGCACCGCGGGCGACAUCUCCUCGGUGGCUCUCCCCCAGUGCGAGGCCCCUUCGGUGGCGGCAGCCAUACCAGCCGGAUCUGCUGCUGAUCCGGCUCUCGCUCGCUCACUCACAUUGCUGCUGCUCCGGCUCUCGCUCGCUCACUCGCGCGGCUGCUGCUCUGGCUCUCGCUCGCUCGCACUGCUGCUGCUCUCCCCCUCGCUCGUGCUGCUGCUCUGCCCCGAUUUAGCUACACUUCAAUCAACUGAAUCGAUUUUUGGGUCAGUCGAAUUUCAGGGGGGGCUCGCCAGAGUUAAGGAAGAACCACCCGCAGCGGGGAGGGGGCUCGACGGAGAGGUACCCCACUAUCUAUCUUAGUGUUCAGGGUGGCGGCGGUGGUGGUCACGGGAGGUGGGGGCGUAGUGGUGGGGCGGUGGCGUGGGGAUCGCUGUAGAGAAAGCUUGGCACAAGGGGCCUAGUUGGCUGGCCGGGGUGGCGGCGGACUGGCGGUGGGGAGUGGUUUCAGGGCGGCGAGGCGGCGCGGGAGUGCCACCGGCCGCGGGCGGCAGGGGCCGGCGGUUCGGCCAGUGGUGGCUUGCGGCUAAGGGGGCUGGUGGUUGAAGAUGAACUGCAAGCCCUCCUUAAACUACAUGUAGAGUGCCUCUCUCCUACCAUUGUGUUUAGUUUCUAUAGUAAGAUUCAGAUUCCACAGUAAAUUUCAGUUUCGAAAGUUAAGUUUAGAGUCAACAGUUUUUACCUCAUCUGUUGUAGUCAGGUGUUUUUUAGUGAUGUAAAUUUUACAUCUAUCCCUUUUUGGUAAUGUAUUUUAGAUCAUCUAUCCCUUUUUGGUAUGUCUUGUACUGCUUCAGCCUCGACUUCUCAUGGCUCGCCGGAGCUGCUCCAACGACGGAACUAUCCAUCACAAUAGAGAAAUGCCCUGGACGCUGUCUACAGAUUCCUCAGAUCUUCCUCCACAACUCCGACAACCACCUACGCCUCAACUUCUUUAGCGACCAAACCAAUGAUGCUGAGGUCGAUACAGCUACUGCAAAGAGGUUGUACACUUGUCGCAUCACUUAUUACUCUACAUUCAUGUCGGUACAUUAGGGCUAUUUCGGUUCAAAGGAAAAACAUAGCAAUAGGAAAUUUUCCUAUGGCACUCUACUAUUCAAUUAUUCAUGCAUUUUGUUGAAAGGAAUGGAGCAAAACAUCCACCUGCACCUACUUGUCAAAAUUAUAUGCAUGAAUACAAGACCAAGUGCAUUAGUGGCAGAAUAACAUUCUAACUGUACACACUUUCAUAUGGUUUCACUUUAAUUUGGCCAUGUUUCUUUCCAUUCCUCUCCUCUUCUAAUUCCUGUGAACCAAACACCCAAGUUGACAGAAAUCCUGUGUUCACAAAUGCUCUGUUUCCCACAUGCAUUCCUAUCAUAUUCUGGUGUUUUUCCUAUCCCUGCGUUUUUAGAAUCCUGCAAGCCAAAGGCGCCCUUACAGAAUUACUUCAGUAACAGGUAGGUGUCUAAGAAAACUUUGUGUGGUUUGUCCUGCUCCCGCCGCGAUGUCGUCCACCUCACUUGAGCUACUCCAUCGACAGAAGCAUCCACCAAACCAGACAUCACGACUCCUCACCAUCUUUCGCCGCCUCAGAUCUCCUUCCCUACCGCCGGCACCCACCGCAACUGCAUCAGCAUCAUCGACUCAACAGAUGAACCUGAGGAGUACACUGGUCCACAAGAGAGGUCGCACUCUUUUGUUUCUACUUACGUUAUGCAUUGCUUAAUCUUACCUGCUACUUUAUCGUCCUGUUCACCUCUUAGACUCCAAGUCUGGUCCAAAUUAAUGUUCAGACCUGAGUUGUAAAAUUACUUUUGAGGCACAUAUCAAAGCAGCUAUGAAUAGUAUCUCUAUCUAUUAUUUGGUUCACCUACGGUAUGCCAAUGUUGUUCAUCUUGGGUGGGAAACAAAUAGUAAAGCAAUCAUCAUCUGUCUUUUUAUUAAAUUAUAGCUAUCAUUAGCCUACUAUCAUUAUUUUUGGAUCCAUCCACUGGUUGUUACCAUCACUCUAGAUUUCUGCAUGCUCUCCUACAUAAUCUCACUAUAUUUUUUUCGUAUGCAUGUCAGAUAUUGUACACAGUCAUGUUGAACAUGUAGAGAAAAAGAGAAGAGUUUUGCACGAUAAUACAAUCUCAUAUAGACAUCGCUCCAUGGUGGGUUCAAUGGCAAACCCUCCCCCCUCUCUAGAUUGUAAUCCAGAUGAAGAUAUCUGUUCUGAGGCGGAUUCAGACGUACCUGACCACUCCUAUUUACCCUCUAAGGUGUUUGCUCUAACUUGGCAUGAUGAUGUUGGUCAUAUCAUGCAUAUGUUGCCCUGCAGUGCCUACUUUUGACAUCAUAUAUGUCAUCUGCUUAGUUUAGACAUGUUCUAUAAUACUACCUAUUUAGUUUCUAUAUCAUAUAUGGGAAUUAUACAGUCUCAUCUAUUUUAGCCAGCCAUAAUAUAUGUGAAAUAUGCAAUGCCAUCCUGUUUAACCAGACAUCAUAUAUUUGAAUGAUAUCUUGCCAAUCCUUUUCUUCAUUACAUUUCCAUUUGUCGACAAUGUUUGUACAUUUGACUACUCUUCCUAUGAAUCAGCCAUUUGAGUGGGUAAUGGAAAAAAUCUGGAGUGAAAACAAGGUCUUGAGAGCAGACAGUGCUACCUGUCGAAGCAGAUCUCUUGUCGGGUCCCGAUAGCUCCUCAGACAUGGAUUCAGGGACAGAUGACCAGUCCUAUUCCCCCACUGAGGUGUAUGCUCUAACUUGGCACAGUUAUACUGCUCAUAUCAUGCAUAUGGUGUCUUGCAUUGCAUAGUUUAGACAUCAUAUACACAAUAUUGAACACCAUGUUCUUAGUUCAGACAUCAUAUAUGCAAAUGCCCUCUGCUUAGCAUAUAAAUCACAUAUGUGAAUUAAAUCAUGCGAUCCUGAUUACUUACAUAACAUGUAUGUGGAUUAUGUCAUGUGAACCUGUUUACUCAGGACAUCAUAUAAUUAUCUCAUGCCAUCCUGUUUAGUUAGACAUCAUAUCUUUGAAUUAUGUCAUGCUAUGCUAUCCUGUUUGGAUAGACAUCAUAUAUGUGCAAUUAUGUCAUGCUAUCCUUUCUAGUUAAACAAUAUACAUGUGAACUAUUUCAUGCCCUCUUUUUUCCACACUAUCUAUUGCAUCUGUCUCUCAUACAAUGUAUGUACAUUCAACUAUGUUUCCUGUUUAUCAACCAUUUGAAUUGGAGCGGGUGAUGGCAGUAUCUAGCGGCCUAAAAACACGGUCUUCAAAUAAAACAGUGCUACCUCUUGGUGGAGGUAGCACCCGGUUGUACAACCAUAGGAACCAGCCCUACCACACAUACUGCAGACCCUCGCAGAUUGUACCCCUGCUGCGAUGGAUAGAGAACCAGCUUCACCCAAUCUAACCCCAAUCCGAGCAGAUAGUAACCCAGUUCCUAUUGACGCAACACCAUCUCCACCAUAGAGCUCCCAAAGAAGAGCGGUUUGUAAGGCAGCUCCAGUGCCCAAAGCGCCAAUACUACCACGGCGAACCCCAACUCCACCAGUUAGUACACCUAUUCCUGUGGAGGAAGCACAACUAGCCAGUCAUAGUUUAGCAUCUCUCGUAUUUGAUGUUGUUAAAUCCUAUGUGCAUAUUUUCCCAUGAUGGAAAUAUUAUAACUAAAGAUGAAGGAAAAUGCCAGUUGCAGGUGUUUGUCCAGGAGUUAUGUGUAAGUAAUGUUAUUCAUGGCAAUUACUUUGCUUUGUCCCAUACAUUCUACCUCCAUGAUUGUUAUAAUGCAGCAAAUUUUACCAUUUUUCUCUAUAGAGAAGGACCGAUUUGGAAACUCAGGAUGAGGUAACCUUUGCUAUCUUCAAGAAUGCUUGGUGGUAGUAUCGUAAUUACCUGAAGAAAACCUACUUUAGUAGCAAAGAAACUCAUCAAAUUCCCUUACAUUCUCCUAAGACACAUUUACUGGACGAUGACUGGGCAUGCCUUAUUCUGUACUGUUCCCGAACCAACAAUGUGGUAAGUUUUAUGAGUUCAUUUUCUAUUUUGAAGUACUAUAUUCUUGCGUCUUACGGUACUCUGUUCAUGUAGAACAAGUGCUUAAACCUAAAGAACAACUAUUCUCAUUUAAGAUUCCAUUGCUAUCGUGCACACUUCUUUGCUCUUGUAUCACUGUAUUUACACAUACAAACUUAUUUUUAAAUUGAAGGAUCCAACCAAAACUCCAAUGGCACAACAAGUAUGUUUACGCAUGUUUCUUUAAAAGGUUUGCUCUUAUAAAUAGCUCUAUUGAUUUCAAUUUCAAUUUGUAUACAGUUGACUUCUAAUAUCAUGCACAUUACUAGCAUCACAAUAGAGCCAAUAGUGUUGUUGUACAUGUAGACCCAUGGUAGCCAUCUGAAAUCAUGUUGUGCCUUGUUGUUUCCCACGCUUUGUAUUCUUUCAGUGGUGCUUUGUCUUGAACUUAUAUGAUUUGAAUCGUGUAUCUAUUUUGAUUUGGCAAGAUAAUGCAGUGACCAUAGGACAUAGAUAUAUGUUUGUUUGAUGCUUUUAUUAUGUACUACUUGGCAAUAGAAGACUUGGUAGUUUAAUCCUGUCCACCUUACUAAUGAACUGGUUCACCGAAAUGAGUUUCAUAUACUAGUACAUGCUAAACCUAUUAUGUGUCUGCUUGUUUCUUCUUUUAGAAUGCUGACAGAAUAUUGGGGAAGAGUGCCUUAUUAAGCAAUGGUAAAGGAAGUAAUGAAGAUAAGGUUCAGGAUAUUGAGACAUCCUUGUUGGUCUCCAACAAAGCUGAUAAAACAGCUAAGGAAAACAAUCUUGAAGACAGUGAGACAACCCCAAAGUCCUGUCUUGGUUUAGUGUUCGAGUUACUAGCCACUACCACGUGCACAAGCUAUUCAAACUCACUGUCUGAAUCAGUUCGGUUUCUUGAGUCUCAACUACAAGUUGGAAGACAUCGAUCAGCUGUGCUGCGACAAGAAGUGGAAGGACUGUGAAAGUCCCGAGAGCAUUCAGAUGCAUACUUUGUGGUGCAACAACAAGCGUUGGAGGAUUUUAGCGCCAAACAUGACAAAACUAAUAAGAUUGCUAAGCUUAUUGCCAGCAUGGUGGAUACCCAUGAUAACGUUUCUUGAGCUCUUCUGAAGUUGUUCAGUUAUGAACUUGUUUUGUUGCCGCGUUUACUUGCACUGGUGGCCAAUUUAGACGGUCGGUAUAUGUAAUAUGCUGCUUUCUUCCCUAUAUUUGCACCGGUGGCGAACUUUGAUGCCCAGUGGAUGUAAUAUGUGUAAUAGUCGUAAUAGCCUUGUGUUAGUUGCUUGCUUAUUUAUUUCCUUAUUGUCUUGGUUAGUUGUUUUCUUGUAGUCAUUGUAGUUCUUUUUCCGCGUUUUUCUAGUGGCCACAAUAACCUAUUUUUGUAACUAGGCCACAAUAACCAUGGCAAGACACAGACUGUUGUGACCAUGGUCCUGCUACCUACUAUAGUGACCAUGGCCCUCCAUGGGUUGUACGACCAUGGGCCUUCUACGGGCCGCAUGAUCCAUGGGCCUUCUAUGGGCCGUAGGAUCCAUGCGCAUUCUACGCGUCAUCUCAUCUAUGGGCCUUCUACGGGCUAUAUAAUCAUUUCGCCAAACAUGGGCCAUACUACUCGUGGACUAAUAACGGACCGCAAAAUGGGCCGUAAAUGGGCUAGGGUGGAACUCGUCUGUUUUAUGGCCCGACCAUAACAGGUCAUUAAUAGGCCGUAAUUGACGAUGCUAUGAAAAGAGACCAAUGGGUUAACAGGCCACAAACUGGCCGACUGUAACCAUGGGUUAAAUUUGGCCCAGAAGUGGAACAGGCCAGUAAUGGACCGUAAGUAAUCAAAUUCUAGAAAUGAGCCCAAGAAUAAAUUGGCCCUUAGAGGCCAAAAGGUAACACGGGCUGGAAACGGCCGACGGACUAAUGGGCCGUUAAUCGGUAUAAAGCAAUACACUGUUCAUUACGGGCCAGUUUCACCACGGGCCGUUAAUGGGCCAAGAGUUACAAAGGGUCUCAUAUGGGCCGAAAGACGUCAUGGGCCAUGUUGGGGGACAUAGUCAUUUCAAAAAAAUUCCUACGCACAUGGAAGAUCAUGGUGAUGCAUAGCAACGAGAGGGGAGAGUGUUGUCCACGUACCCUUGUAGACCGAAAGCGGAAGCGUUAGCACAACGCGGUUGAUGUAGUCAUACGUCUUCACGAUCCGACCGAUCAAGUACCGAACGCACGGCACCUCCGAGUUCAACACACGUUCAGCCCGAUGACGUCCCUCUAACUCCGAUCCAGCCGAGUGUUGAGGGAGAGUUUCGUCAGCACGACGGCGUGGUGACGAUGUUGAUGUUCUACCGACGCAGGGCUUCGCCUAAGCACCACUAUAGUAUUAUCGAGGUGGACUAUGGUGGAGGGGGGCACCGCACACGGCUAAGAGACGAUCAACUUGAUCAACUUGUGUCUAGAGGUGCCCCCUGCCCCUAUAUAUAAAGGAGCAAGGGGGUGCGGCCGGCCAAGGGGAGAGGCGCGCCGGAGGAGUCCUACUCCCACCGGGAGUAGGACUCCCUCCCUUUUCCUAGUUGGAUUACGACUUGGGAGGGGGGAAGAAGGAAAGAGGGGGGCCGACACCCUUUGCCCUAAGCCAAUUCGGUUUGGGCCUUGGGGGGCGCGGCCCACACUUCCCUUGCUUCCCUCCUUUUCCACUAAGGCCCAUGUAGGCACAUUAAGCCCCCGGGGGGUUCCGAUAACCCCCGGUACUCCGGUAAAAUCCUGAUUUCACCCGGAACACUUCCGAUAUCCAAACAUAGGCUUCCAAUAUAUCAAUCUUCAUGUCUUGACCAUUUUGAGACUCCUCGUCAUGUCCGUGAUCACAUCCGGGACUCCGAACAACCUUCGGUACAUCAAAACAUAAAACUCAUAAUAUAACUGUCAUCGUAGCGUUAAGCGUGCGGACCCUACGGGUUCGAGAACUAUGUAGACAUGACAGAGACACGUCUCCGGUCAAUAACCAAUAGGGAACCUGGAUGCUCAUAUUGGCUCCUACAUAUUCUACUAAGAUCUUUAUCGGUCAGACCGCAUAACAACAUACGUUGUUCCCUUUGUCAUCGGUAUGUUACUUGCCCGAGAUUCGAUCGUGGGUAUCUCAAUACCUAGUUCAAUAUCAUUACCGGCAAGUCUAUUUACUCGUUCUGUAAUACAUCAUCCCGCAACUAACUCAUUAGUUGCAAUGCUUGCAAGGCUUAAGUGAUGUGCAUUACUGAGAGGGCCCAGAGAUACCUCUCCGACAAUCGGAGUGACAAAUCCUAAUCUCGAAAUACGCCAACCCAACAAGUACCUUCGGAGACACCUGUAGAGCACCUUUAUAAUCAUCCAGUUACGUUGUGACAUUUGGUAGCACACAAAGUGUUCCUCCGGUAAACGGGAGUGCAUAAUCUCAUAGUCAUAGGAACAUGUAUAAGUCAUGAAGAAAGCAAUAGCAACAAACUAAACGAUCAAGUGCUAAGCUAAUGAAAUGGGUCAAGUCAAUCACAUCAUUCUCCUAAUGAUGUGAUCCCGUUAAUCAAAUGACAACUCAUGUCUAUGGUUGGAAACAAAACCAUCUUUGAUCAACAAGCUAGUCAAGUAGAGGCAUACUAGUGACACUCUGUUUGUCUAUGUAUUCACAUAUGUAUUAUGUUUCCGUUUAAUACAAUUCUAGCAUGAAUAAUAAUCUAGAGUCAAUAAUCUAGUUCACAUAGCCAUGUGAUUUAAUACCAAUAGUUCACAUCACCAUGUGAUUAACACCCAUAGUUCACAUCGACAUGUGACAAACACCCAAAGGGUUUACUAGAGUCAAUAAUCUUGUUAACAUCGCUAUGUGAUUAACCCCCAAAGAGUACUAAGGUGUGAUUAUGUUUUGCUUGUGAGAGAAGUUUAGUCAACGGGUCUGCCAUAUUCAGAUUCAUAAGUAUUUUGCAAAUUUCUAUGUCAACAAUGCUCUGCACGGAGCUACUCAAGCUAAUUUCUUCCACUUUCAAUAUGUAUCCAGAUUGAGAUUUAGAGUCAUAUGGAUCAGUGCAAAAAUUUGCAUUGACGUAACCUUUUACAACGAACCUUUUUGUCACCUCCAUAAUCGAGAAACAUAUCCUUAUUCAACUAAGGAUAAUUUUGACCGCUGUCCAGUGAUCUACUCCUAGAUCACUAUUGUACUCCCUUGCCAAAAUCAGUGUAGGGUAUACAAUAGAUCUGGUACACAACAUGGCAUAUUUUAUAGAACCUAUGGUCAAGGCAUAGGGAAUGACUUUCAUUCUCUUUCUAUCUUCUCCCGUGGUCGGGCUUUGAGUCUUACUCAGUUUCACACCUUGUAACACAAGCAAAGUAUUCUUUCUUUGACUGUUCCAUUUUUGAACUACUUCAAAAUCUUGUCAAGGUAUGUACUCAUUGAAAAACUUAUCAAGCGUCUUGAUCUAUCUCUAUAGAUCUUGAUGCUCAAUAUGUAAGCAGCUUCACCGAGGUCUUUCUUUGAAAAAACUCCUUUCAAACAUUCCUUUAUGCUUUGCAGAAUAAUUCUACAUUAUCUCCGAUCAACAAUAUGUCAUCCACAUAUACUUAUUAGAAAUGCUGUAGUGCUCCCACUCACUUUCUUGUAAAUACAGGCUUCACCACAAGUCUGUAUAAAACUAUAUGCUUUGAUCAACUUAUCAAAGCGUAUAUUCCAACUCCGAUAUGCUUGCACCAGUCCAUAGAUGGAUCACUGGAGCUUGCAUAAUUUGUUAGUACCUUUAGGAUUGACAAAACCUUCUGGUUGCAUCAUAUAAAACUCUUCUUUAAUAAAUCCAUUAAGGAAUACAGUUUUGUUUAUCCAUUUGCCAGAUUUCAUAAAAUGCGGCAAUUGCUAACAUGAUUCGGACAGACUUAAGCAUAGAUACAAGUGAGAAACUCUCAUCGUAGUCAACACCUUGAACUUGUUGAAAACCUUUUUGUGACAAUUCUAGCUUUGUAGAUAGUAACACUACUAUCAGCGUCCGUCUUCCUCUUGAAGAUUCAUUUAAUCUCAGUGGCUCGCCGAUCAAUGGGAAAGUCAAUCAAAGUCCAUACUUUGUUCCCAUACAUGGAUCUCAUCUCAGAUUUCAUGGCCUCAAGCCAUUUCGCAGAAUCUAGGCUCAUCAUCGCUUCCUCAUAGUUCGUAGGCUCGUCAUGGUCAAGUAACAUGACCUCCAGAAUAGGAUUACCGUAACACUCUGGUGCGGAUCUCACUCUGGUUUACCUACGAGGUUCGGUAGUAACUUGAUCUGAAGUUACAUGAUCAUCAUCAUUAGCUUCCUCACUAAUUGGUGUAGUAGUCAUAGGAACAGAUUUCUGUGAUGAACUACUUUCCAAUAAAGGAGCAGGUACAGUUACCUCAUCAAGUUCUACUUUCCUCCCACUCACUUCUUUCGAGGGAAAAUCCUUCUCUAGAAAGGAUCCAUUCUCAACAAUGAAUCUCUUGCCUUCGGUCUGUGAUAGAAGGUGUACCCAACAUUUUCUUUUGGGUAUCCUUUGAAGAUGCACUUCUCCGAUUUGGGUUUGAGCUUAUCAGGUUGAAACUUUUUCACAUAAGCAUUGCAACCUCAAAAUUUAAGAAACGACAGCUUAGGUUUCUUGCCAAACCAUAGUUCAUACGGUGUCGUCUCAACGGAUUUAGAUGGUGCCCUAUUUAAUGUGAAAGUAGCUAUCUCUAAUGCAUAACCCCAAAACGAUAGUGGUAAAUCGGUAAGAGACAUCAUAGAUCGCACCUUAUCUAAUAAAGUACGGUUACGACGUUCGGACACACCAUUACAUUGUGGUUUUCCAGGUGGCGUGAGUAGUGAAACUCUUUCACAUUGUUUUAACUGAAGGCCAAACUCGUAACUCUAAUAUUUUACUUCUGCGAUCAUAUCGUAGAAACUUCUACUUUUGUUAUGAUGAUUCUCCACUUCACUCUGAAACUCUUUGAACUUUUCAAAUGUUUCAGACUUGUGUUUCAUCAAGUAGAUAUACUCAUAUCUGCUCAAAUUAUUUGUGAAGAUCAGAAAAUAAUGAUACCUGCCGCGAGCCUGAAUAUUCAUCAGACCACAUACAUCAGUAUGUAUGAUUUCCAACAAAUCUGUUGCUCGCUCCAUUGUUCCGGAGAACGGAGUCUUAGUCAUCUUGCCCAUGAGGCAUGGUUCGCAAGCAUCAACUGAUUCAUAAUCAAGUGAUUCCAAAAGCCCAUCAGCAUGGAUUUUCUUCAUGCGCUUUACACCAAUAUGACCUAAAUGGCAGUGCCACAAAUAAGUUGCACUAUCGUUAUUAACUUUGCAUCUUUUGGCUUCAAUAUUAUAAAAUGUGUAUCACCACGAUCGAGAUCCAACAAACCAUUUUCAUUGGGUGUAUGACCAUAGAAGGUUUUAUUCAUGUAAAUAGAACAACAAUUAUUCUCUAACUUACAUGAAUAACUGUAUUGCAAUAAAUAUGAUCCGAUCAUAUUCAUGCUCAACGCAAACACUAAAUAACAUUUAUUUUAGGUUUAACACUAAUCCCGAAAGUAUAGGGAGUGCGCAAUGAUGAUCAUAUCAAUCUUGGAACCAUUUCCAAUACACAUCGUCACUUCACCCUCAACUAGUCUAUGUUCAUUCUGCAACUCCCAUUUCGAGUUACUAUUCUUAGAAACUGAACUAGUAUCAAAUACUGAGGGGUUGCUAUAAACACUAGUAAAGUACACAUCAAUAACAUGUAUAUAUCAAAUAUACAUAUGUUCACUUUGCCAUCCUUCUUAUCCGCCAAUUAUUUGGGGUAGUUCCGCUUCCAGUGACCAGUCCCUUUGCAGUAGAAGCACUCAGUUUCAGGCUUAGGUCCAGACUUGGGUUUUUUCACUUGAGAAGCAACUUGCGUGCCAUUCUUCUUGAAGUUCCCCUUUCUUCCCUUUGUCCCUUUUCUUGAAAAUAGUAGUUUUGUUUACCAUCAACACUUGAUGCUUUUUUUGAUUUCUACCUUCGUCGAUUUCAGCAUCACGAAGAGCUUGGGAAUCGUUUCUGUUAUCCCUUGCAUAUUAUAGUUCAUCACGAAGUUCUACUAACUUGGUGAUGGUGACUAGAGAAUUCUGUCAAUCACUAUUUUAUCUGGAAGAUUAACUCCCACUUGAUUCAAGCGAUUGUAGUACCAAGACAAUCUGAGCACAUGCUCACUGCUUGAGCUAUUCUCCUCCAUCUUUUAGCUAUAGAACUUGUUGGAGACUUCAUAUCUCUCAACUCGGGUAUUUGCUUGAAAUAUUAACUUCAACUCCUGGAACAUCUCAUAUGGUCCAUGACAUUCAAAAGGUCUUUGAAGUCCCGAUUCUAAGACGUUUAAGCAUGGUGCACUAAACUAUCAAGUAGUCAUCAUAUUGAGCUAGCCUAACAUUCAUAACAUCUACAUCUGCUCCUGCAAUUGGUUUGUCACCUAGCGGUGCAUCAAGAACAUAAUUCUUCUGUGCAGCAAUGAGGAUAAACCUCAGAUCAUGGAUCCAAUCCACAUCAUUGCUACUAACACCUUUCAACUUAGUUUUCUCUAGGAACAUAUCAAAAUUAAAAUAGGGGAGCUAAACGCGAGCUCUUGAUCUACAACAUAGAUAUGCUAAUACUACCAGGACUAAGUUCAUGAUAAAUUUAAGUUCAAUUAAUCAUAUUACUUAAGAACUCCCACUUAGAUAGACAUCCCUCUAAUCCUCUAAGUGAUCACGUGAUCCAUAUCAACUAAACCAUGUCCGAUCAUCACGUGAGAUGGAGUAGUUUCAAUGGUGAACAUCACUAUGUUGAUCAUAUCUACUAUAUGAUUCACGCUCGACCUUUCGGUCUCAGUGUUCCGAGGCCAUAUCUGUUAUAUGCUAGGCUCAUCAAGUUUGACCUGAGUAUUCCGCGUGUGCAACUGUUUUGCACCCGUUGUAUUUGAACGUAGAGCCUAUCACACCCGAUCAUCAUGUGGUGUCUUAGCAUGAAGAACUUUCACAAUAGUGCAUACUCAGGGAGAACACUUGUACCUUGACAAUUAGUGAGAGAUCAUCUUAUAAAGCUACCAUCGAACUAAGCAAAAUAAGAUGUAUAAAAGAUAAACAUCACAUGCAAUAAAAAUAUGUGACAUGAUAUGGCCAUCAUCAUCUUGUGCCUUUGAUGUCCAUCUCAAAAGCUUCGUCAUGAUUUCCAUCAUCACCAGCAUGACACCAUGAUCUCCAUCAUCUUGAUCUAUAUCAAUGUGUCGUCACAUGGUCGUCUCGCCAACUAUUGCUCUUGCAACUAUUGCUAUCGCAUAGCGAUAAAGUAAAGCAAUUAUUUGGCGCUUGCAUCUUAUGCAAUAAAGAGACAAUCAUAAGGCUUCUGCCAGUUGCCGAUAACUUCAACAAAACAUGAUCAUCUUAUACAACAACUUAUAUCUCAUCACGUCUUGACCAUAUCACAUCACAACAUGCCCUGCAAAAACAAGUUAGACGUCCUCUACUUUGUUGUUGCAAAUUUUACGUGGCUGCUAUGGGCUUAGCAAGAACCAUUCGUACCUACGCAUCAAAACCACAACGAUUGUUUAUCAAGUUGGUGCUGUUUUAACCUUCUCAAUGACCGGGCGUAGCCACACUCGGUUCAACUAAAGUUGGAGAAACUGACACCCGCUAGUCACCUGUGUGCAUAGCACGGCGGUAAAACCAGUCUCGCGUAAGCAUACGCGUAAUGUCGGUCCGGGCCGCUUCAUCCAACAAUACCGCCGAACCAAAGUGUGACAUGCUGGUAAGCAGUAUGACUUAUAUCGCCCACAACUCACUUGUGUUCUACUCGUGCAUAUUACAUCAACGCAUAAAACCUGGCUCGGAUGCCACUGUUGGGGAACGUAGUAAUUUAAAAACAAAUUCCUACGCACACGCAAGAUCAUGCUGAUGCAUAGCAAUGAGAGGGGAGAGUGUUGUCCACGUACCCUCGUAGACCGAAAGCGGAAGCGUUAGCACAAUGCGGUUGAUGUAGUCGUACUUCUUCACGAUCCGACCGAUCAAGUACCGAACGCACGACACCUCCGUGUUCAGCACACGUUUAGCCUGAUGACGUCCCUCUAACUCCGAUCCAGCCGAGUGUUGAGGCAGAGUUUCGUCAGCACGACGGCGUGGUGACGAUGUUGAUGUUCUACCGACGCAGGGCUUCGCCUAAGCACCACUACAGUAUUAUCGAGGUGGACUAUGGUGGAGGGGGCACCGCACACGGCUAAGAGACGAUCAACUUGAUCAACUUGUGUCUAGAGGUUCCCCCUACCCAUGUAUAUAAAGGAGCAAGGGGGGUGCGGCCGGCAAAGGGGAGAGGCGCGUCGGAGGAGUCCUACUCCCACCAGGAGUAGGACUCCCCCCCUUUUCCUAGUUGGAUUAGGACUUGGGAGGGGGGAAGAAGGAAAGAGGGGGGGCUGGCCCCCUUUGCCCUAAACCAAUUCGGUUUGGGCCUUGGGGGACACGCCCCACACUUCCCUUGCUUCCCUCCUUUUCCACUAAGGCCCAUGUAGGCCCAUUAAGCCCCCGGGGGGUUCCGGUAACCCCCCGGUACUCCGGUAAAAUCCCGAUUUCACCCGGAACACUUCCGAUAUCCAAACAUAGGCUUACAAUAUAUCAAUCUUCAUGUGUCGACCAUUUCGAGACUCCUUGUCAUGUCCGUGAUCACAUCCGGGACUCCGAACAACCUUUAGUACAUCAAAACAUAAAACUCAUAAUAUAAUUAUCAUCGUAGCGUUAAGCGUGCGGACCCUAUGGGUUCGAGAACUAUGUAGACAUGACUGAGACACGUCUCCGGUCAAUGACCAAUAGAGGAACCUGCAUGCUCAUAUGGGCUCCUACAUAUUCUAUGAAGAUCUUUAUCGGUCAGACCCCAUAACAUCAUAUGUUGUUCCCUUUGUCAUCGGUAUGUUACUUGCCCGAGAUUCGAUCGUUGGUAUCUCACUACCUAGUUCAAUCUCGUUACCGGCAAGUCUCUUUACUCGUUCCGUAAUACAUCAUCCCGCAACUAACUCAUUAGUUGCAAUGCUUGCAAGGCUUAAGUGAUGUGCAUUACCGAGAGGGCCUAGAGAUACCUCUCCGACAAUCGGAGUGACAAAUCCUAAUCUCAAAAUACGCCAACCCAACAAGUACCUUCGGAGACAACUAUAGAGCACCUUUAUAAUCACCCAUUUACAUUGUGACGUUUAUUAGCACACAGAGUGUUCCUCCAGUAAACGGGAGUUGCAUAAUCUCAUAGUCAUAGGAACAUGUAUAAGUCAUAAAGAAAGCAAUAGCAACAAACUAAAUGAUCAACUGCUAAGCUAAUGAAAUGGGUCAAGUCAAUCAAAUCAUUCUCCUAAUGAUGUGAUCCCGUUAAUCAAAUGACAACUCAUGUCUAUGGUUAGGAAACGUAACCAUCUUUGAUCAACGAGCUAGUCAAGUAGAGGCAUACUAGUGACACUCUGUUUGUCUAUGUAUUCACACAUGUAUUACGUUUCUGGUUAAUACAAUUAUAGCAUGAAUAAUAAACAUUUAUCAUGAUAUAAGGAAAUAAAUAAUAACUUUAUUAUUGCCUCUACGGCAUAUUUCAUUCAGGACAUACAUGGGCCGGAAGUUACAAUAGGCUGGAAUCAUAUUGGACGGCCCAGAUGACGCUACUAGUGAGCGAGUCCUGGGUUAAGGGGUCCCCGGGUGUCCGGGCUAUGUGAUAUGGGCUUGACUGAUGGGCCCUGAAGAUACAAGGCAGAAGACCUUCCCCCGUGUUCGUGUACGACUCUCUUAUGCGUGGAUGGCAAGAUUGGUGUCCGGAUAUGUAAUUUCCUUCCUCUACAAACCGACUCUAUACAACCCUAUGCCCCUUCGGUGUGUCUAUAAAUUAGAGGGUUUAGUCCAUAGAGGCUAUCAGAAUUAAUAGAGGCUAGACAACUAGGGUUUAGCCAUUAUGAUCUCGAGGUAGAUCAACUCUUGUAACCCCUACACUUAUCAAAUACAAUUAAGAGGGCCCGAACCUGGGUAAAUAUCGUGUUUCCCCUAUCCCUUGUUACCUUUGAUCCUCAGACGCACUGUUUGGUACCCCCUACCUAAGAUCGGCCGGUUUUGACAUCCACAACUCGGCCUAAUUUGGAUAAGCCGUCACGGGCCGUGACUUACCGGGCUGUAAAUGGGCUAUAUGCGAACAGGUCAUUAACAAGCUUUCCGUGGGACGGCCCGCUACCUUUUGACCAAGUCAAAUGGGUCAGCCUUUUCUCCGGAAUGGGUCUCUGUUGGGCCGUGCCACAUGUCGAUGUAUCAUAGGCGCAUUCGGCCCAAUGAGUGGAUCACAUAUGUCCCAACGGUGAGCUGACAUGUGGUUCCUCUGGCCAUUCAGAAUUUUACAUGUGGAAAAUCCCCAUUGGUCUGGGCUGUUAACGGGUUAUCGGAUCGAAACCAGAACCCGAUAGCUUAACGGUGACCCAUUACGGUGGAUGCAUGUGUCAGUUACCCUUGACAAAAGCAAUUCAAUGGUGCAUGAUUUAUCUUCACGGAAGUGGACACUUCCGUGAUGAUAAUUUUGGUAAUGUCAUGGAACACUUCAAUGAUAGCACAGGUAUAACUAUCCUGAUUCUGUCAUAAAAUCAUCAUGGAUGUACAUGCAUGAUAGAAAACAUGACGUACUGUGACAAACACAUAUCAUCACGGAAGUGUAUUUUUUUGUAGUGUCUUGAGCUUGCAUGCAAAAUUUAUAUGGUCCAGAGUAGUUUUGAUGCAUGAUAUAGCCUCUAGGCACCUGUAGGAUUAGUUGCUAUCAAUUUUGUUGAGUUUGGUUCACUUUUAUUCUGAGUCACUAAAAAUUUCAGAAAUUUUUCAGAGGAAGAAAAAUGUACCAAGGUGGUUCUUCAAGGAAGCAAGCACCGAGGCUCAAGAUACGCGAGCCAGACCUUGAACAACCAUGGGAAGAUCAAGUGCGGCCUUGUGAAUGGCCGUUAGAUGAAUUUAUGGUCCAUGCAGGUUUCAAGGAUGAGUUUGAUGCAUACGUACAAAAUACCGGCCUUGAGGACUUCGUGUUAGAAAAGUGCCGACAAUACUAUUAUCUCACCGAUUCCUUUGUGCGGAGGUUUGAAUUUUCAUCUAAGUGCAAUAUGCAUAUUGUUUUAUUUGAUCUUUAUGAUAAAUCAUAUACCAUGGAACUUGAGGAUUUUAAUACUGCUUGCAAAAUCCCACAAUGGGGCCUUCUUAGUGAGCCUCACAAAGCUGAAUACAAUGAUUUCCUUGCUAGCAUCACUGUGGGAGAAACUAGAAACAUCACACAAGCUACCAUAGGGAGCAUUCACUUUCCUUCCAUACAUUAUUUUUCUCUCUUUAUAGGUAGAUGCAUUAACGGUAAGCAUGAGCAUUGCCACCUUUGCGUUCUAGAUCUUAGUGUCAUCAAGUGUGUGGUGUUAGGUGAUAAGCGAUAUAACUUGGGGGCCAUUAUUGCAAGGAGGUUACAUCUUAAUGCUAAAGAUGGAGAUUUAUUUGGUGGGAUUUAUGCAAAUAGUUUAGCUAAUUAUCUUGGUCUACCCAUAAGAGGGAAUGACAUUGAGUUGACACCUACUUUUCUAGAUUAUAAUGCUAUGGUAUGCUACCAGUUUCUUGAGAGGAACGAACAUUCCCUCCAGUAUCGACUAAUCUUUGACAGACGGCAUGCUAUCCAUAUUACCCUUCCUACUCCUGCCUUCUUUAACUUUCAGGCGAAUGGGAGAUAUUUUAUAACUAGAGAGGAGGCGAACGAGUAUGAGAGAGCAGCGGAGGCCGCUCGCUCCAAGAAGAAGCUCACCAAGGGGUAGCUGCCGCAACAUAGUACAACCCCAACUAUGAUUGCGGAUAUAAUCCGGGUCAGUCGUGGCCCUAGAGCACCUUAGGCCAAAAGCCUAAGCUUGGGGGGGGACGUAUUUCUCAUCAACAUUACAUUCAUGUUCACACACUCAUUUUAGUUUUCGGUGUUCAUACUUUUUCAUUGUAUAUCCAUGCUAGUUUACUAUCUUUUUCUCGCUUUUUUCUUGUGUGUUUGAAAAACUUUGAGAAAAACCAAAAAAAAUUAUGUAGUUUCUUUUCAAUGUUCACUUAGUGGUAGUAUUAAAAUAAAACCCAAAAACAUUUCUCAUUCUUCUUUUGCUUGUUGGGACCUUUCCCAUGUAAAUAGUUUUUCUCGUUCUUGUUUUACUUUCUUCAGAAAAACAAAAACUCCAAAAACAUUUUAGUGUGUUUCUUUUAAAUUCUUCUCUUUUCUUUGGGGGUCGAGAGGAGAAUACCACGAUGAAAAUGUUGAGUGGCUCUCAUAUGCAUUAUUGUUGAUCUAACAAAGAGCCCAUAUUACCUUGUCUUCUCCUUUGAAUAAAUGUUUGCAGAUUACAUCUUAGUCCAAUGCACAUUCACUAUUAUUAUUAUCCACAGCGUUCGGUCGUGCAAGUGAAAGGCAAUAAUGAUGAUAUAUGAUGAAAUGAUCGAGAUGUGGAAAUGCUGGUAUGAACUCGACCUAUCUUGCUUUUGUAAAUAUGAUUAGUUCAUCGUUCCUGAUUCAGCCUAUUAUGAAUGAAACAUGUUUGCAAUGACAAUUAGAGAUUAUAGUUGCUCAUGCCAUGCUUAAUUAGCUAGGAGUUUAUAAUGGUUUACCUUGCAUGGCAACAUGCUUUUAAAAUGAUUGUGAUGUAGUAUGAUAGGAUGGUAUCCUCCUUUGAAUUACUUGAGUGGCUUGACUUGGCACAUGUUUACACAUGUAGUUGAAACAAAAUCAACAUAGCCUCCAUGAUAUUUAUGUUCAUGGUGAUUUAUAUCCUACUCAUGCUUGCACUCAAUGUUGGUUAACCUCAAUGCAUGUUUAUGACUAUUGUUGCUCUCUAAUUGGUCGCUCCCCAGUCUUUUUCUAUCCUUCACUUGUACUAAGCGGGAAUACUACUUGUGCAUCCACUUCCAUAAACCAAAAGUUGUCCCAUAUGAGUCCACCAUACCUUCUUAUAUGCGGUAUUUACCUGCCGUUCCAAGUAAAUUUGCAUGUGCCAACCUCUAAACCUUCAAAUGAUAAUCUAUUUGGUAUGCCUGAAUUGCUCAUGUGGCGACUAGGGGCUGUCAGUAUCUUGCAUGCUAGGUGGGUUAUUCUCACGGUGAGUGGACUCCGCUCAUCAUUCGCGAGAGAAGGGCUGGUAACCGGGAUUCCCAGUCCCAUGCUGAAAUCAAAUCAAAAUUUAAUUGCAAACAAAACUCCCCCAGUAUUGUUGUUAGUUGGACGAUACCCAUUUUUCCGGGCCAGCCAUGGAAUGUGCUUGUUGGUGGUGGGGGAGUAUAAACUUUACCAUUCUAUUUGGGAACUGCCUAUAAUGUAUCUAGUAUUGAAGACACCGAGAUCUCUUGAAUAUUAUGUUGACAACAUCAUCCUCUUAUAAAAAUCAUCAAUUCGAGAGCACCACUGUCAUUUGUAUGCAUUGCUAUUAAUUUAUAUUGAGUAUGACUGUGACUGGAUCUCUUUUACCAUGAAUUACAAUGCCUAGUUGGUGCUCUGCAUUUAUGUUUUGCGGUCUCAGAAAGGGCUGGCGAGAAACCAUCUUGUUAUAUCAUAUCAUGAUUGUUUUGAAAAAGUGUUGUCAUCCGAGAUUUAUUAUUAUUGCUCAGUUGAAUAUGCCACUGAUAUGAGUAAAUGUCAGACCUAAAUAUUAUUUUGAAUAUGGUUACUUCAUACUCUUUGGUGAAAACUUGAAUGCCGACUUUACAUAUUUGCAACGAUAAGAUCAAACAAAUUUUGUUAAAGUUUUUCUUUAUCACCUUCAGUUUGUUAACUGAAUUGAUUGAGGACAAGCAAUGGGUUAAGCAUGGGGGAGUUGAUACGUCUCCAUCAUAUCUACUUUUCCAAACUCUUUUGCCCUUGUUUUGGACUCUAAUUUGCAUGAUUUGAAUGGAACUAACCCGAACAGACGUUGUUUUCAGCAGAAUUGCCGCGGUGUUAUUUUUGUGCAGAAAUAAAAGUUCUCGAAAUGAUCUAAAAAUCCACGGAGAAUAUUUUUGGAAUGUACAAAAAAUAUUGUCAAAAGAAUCAACAGAAGGGAACCCACCGGCUAUCCACAAGAGUGGAGGGCGCGCCCCUGUCUUGUGGGUCCCAAGAAGCUCCACUAAUCUCAACUCAAACUCCAUAUAUUCACAUUCGGGGAGAAAAAAUCAGAGAGAAGGAUUCAUCGCGUAUUAUGAUAUGGAGCUGUCGCCACCUCCUGUUCUUCCUGGGGAGGCCAGAUCUAGAGUCCGUUUUGGGCUUCGGGGAGGGGAAAUCGUUACCAUCAUCAUCAUCAACCAUCCUCCAUCACCAAUUUCAUGAUGCCCAGGGUUGUGCGUGAGUAAUCCCAUCGUAGUCUUGCUGGAUGGUGAUGGGUUGGAUGAGAUUUACCAUGUAAUUGAGUUAGUUUUGUUAGGGUUUGAUCCCUAGUAUCUACUAUGUUCUAAGAUUGAUGUUGCUAUGACUUUGCCAUGCUUAAUGCUUGUCACUAGGGCCCAAGUGCCAUGAUUUCAGAUAUGAACCUAUUAUGUUUUCAUGAAUAUAUUUGUGUUCUUGAUCCUAUCUUGCAAGUUAUAGUCACCUACUACGUGUUAUGAUCCAACAACCCCGGAGUGACAAUAGUUGGGACACUUCCCGUUGAUGACAGUAGUUUGAGGAGUUCAUGUAUUCACUAAGUGCUAAUGCUUUGGUACGGUUUUCUAAUAAAAGGAGGCCUUAAUAUCCCUUAAUAAUAGGACCCCACUGCCACGGGAGGGUAGGACAAAAGAUGUCAUGCAAGUUCUUUUCCAUAAGCACGUAUGACUAUAUUCGGAAUACAUGCCUACAUUAUAUUGAUGAAUUGGAGCUAGUUCUAUGUCACCCUAGGUUAUAACGGUUGCAUGAUGAAUGCCAUCCAACAUAAUUAUCCAUCAUUGAUCCAUUGCCUACAAGUUCGUGUCAUAUUGUUCUUUGCUUCGUUACUUUUCCGUUGCCACUGUUACGAUUGCUGCAAAACUACUAAUGUUACUUUUGCCACUGUUAUCGUUACUUCCAUACUACUUUGCUACUAAAUAUUUUGUUGUAGAUAUUAAGUCUUUCAGGUGUGGUUGAAUUGACAACUCAGCUGAUAAUACUUGAGAAUAUUCUUUGGCUCCCCUUGUGUCAAAUCAAUAAAUUUGGGUUGAAUACUCUACCCUUCACUACUAGGGAAAAGCCUAGCAGUAGCGCGGGUUUUUGGCCUACUAGUAGCACGGGUGACGGCGCUACUGCUACGACACUACAGCUAAAGGUUAGCGGUAGCGUUGGUUUACCCGCGCUACUUCUAUAUCCUCUUAGUAGUAGCGCUUCCUGCAAAAGGCGGUACUAGUAAUUACUAGUAGCGCGUCUCAUUGCCCGCGCUACUACUAUUACUUCAUAUUCUAUUUCUUUUUAUUUUAUGUCGUUUUCAUACACCUUUAUACAAGUUUUCAUACAGUACCAAUUUGUAGAUUGUUUUACAUCAUAAUGAGUUAUUACAUCACUGGGUGAAAGAACCGUGGACUAGUUUCAAGUGGUUGGACAUCCACUUGAAACUAAUCUGCAUUUCUUUCACCCAAUGAUAUAAUAAAUAUCAUCCUCAUCAUCAUCAUCAUCAUAUCAUUAACAACUUAUCAUCAUAAUACAACAUUGUCAUAUAACACCUCCUCAUGAUAAUCAUUUUCAUCAAUGAGACAUCAUAUAGCAAGUUGGUCACUAGUCAUAAUCACAACUCCUCCUCAUCAUCAUCAACUCUAACACAUUGUAGCACAUAAUAACACAUUGUACCUAGGACCUACUUCUCUCUCAUAGGACAUACUACCCUCUCUUAGGUAAAGUAAUACAAAACAAGAUAGGCCCUGACUCUCCAUUAUGUAGAAUGGAGAUUAUCAUGUCUCCUAUUCUUGCGCUUGACACAAUGUUGUUUCCAACUAGCUCCCUACCAUUGACCAUACAUUUUUUCUAAUCUUUGAUUGUCAUGUCUUCAUCAGUUUUAGAAAUCCGGUAUGAACAGGAGUGAUUCGUAGAAUGACCUGGCCGUAAGUUCAAAACAUCAAGGCAAGCUUUCGGAAACAUCAGAUGAGGCACAAAAUCCUUCGGGAUUUUCUGUUGAAAAACAUAGUAAUAACUUUGUAGUUAGCAAUGUAGUUGAGUUUAAGAAGAAAUUAUGCAAAAGAUGCAUGAAUGUCGUAAUAGUAAAAAAUCUUAUCAUGACAUCUCCAUGGAUGUUACUGUAGUUCAACACGUGCACUAGUUGCACGUAUUGACCAUAAUGUGGAGGAGUUUUAUAAUAGAUAUUGUAAUUCUCAAGAUCGGUAAUAAAUGAGAUCAGAUGAUUUUUCGCCUGAUAAGUUAAUUCUGAGCCAUCGGUGUAGUAGGUUAUGUCUACCAUCUUCCGCACAUUCUUUGAAGAAUGAAAAUAAGUUGUCAACUAUUUUGAAAUAAACAAUAUAAAUUACUUAAUAACUAUGUUUGAGAAACUCACAUAGCGGUAGAAUUGGAAGCGUAUCAACAAGGACCCAAAUGUCCAUAUUGUCUUGGGCGAUGUCAGGAUCACCAAGAUCCACGGUGACAAGCAUAACCUCAUGAAAAUCAUACAUCUUGCAAAGUGCUUCCCAAUUCGGGCAACCAAAAUGGGAUACGCUCUCAGAAUUGUGUAGAUUUACAUCAAAAUCCAUACCAUGAUGGGUCCUUAGGUGAAUUAUCUUUGUUUCCAUAAUCUCAUGAUCUUCAAAAUCCAUGCUCUCCAAGACAUAGCAUCUUGCACGGCAUGGGACAAGCUAGUCGACUUGUAAAAGACGAAAAUUACACGUUGAAGUAGCAGAAGUCAUGCUUAGUUAUGAAUAAAACACUUGUCAUCGUUGUGUACCAUUUCAACAUCAAAGGUCUCCUGGAGCUUAAUUUUGAAGAGCCGACCUUCGUCCAGGUGAGGCCUGUCGCAUAGACCCUAGUCGUCGCCGCACUAGUCGCACUCCCCCGGGAGACUUUCGUCGUCCGACUACGACAUUUCCUAGGUUCAUAAUUCAAAGAUUAAACUUGUACAAUUAAAUAUAUGUACUACAAAACUAAAUUAGAUCAUUAUUAUUCAUCACGGGUUGACUAUUGGUCUGCCAGUCUUUUCUUGAGAACUCUCAGCCCACGUGGUGUAUAUAUUCGACCAUCGGUGAUGGUAACUACUUCUGUCAUUCCAAAGACCAUUGCACCAAAAUGUCUAGCACCUUGGAAUGAAGAAGAAGCUACCAACAUGACAACAGUCAACAUUCUUCUUCUCUCAUAUAUAUGGUGGAGUCCCGACAGACUUGGUGUGUACAUUCCACCGUUGGUGAUGGUGGCUCCUCCUUUCGUCCCCAAGUGCAUUACACUAAAAUGUCUAGCACAGGGGAACGAAGGAGAAAUGACCGCCAUGACAACAGUUGGGAUUCUUCGUCCUCUCUCAUAUAUGGUGGACACACUCUCUCACUGAUUUUUCGACCGUCGGUGAUGGUCGUCAUUCAUCCUUCCCCUAGUGCAAAACAAAGAUCUAGCACAAGGAGAAGAAGGAAAAACGACCCCCACAACAACAAUCGGGAUUCUUCUUCUCUCAUAUAUGGUGCAGACUUUCUCCCUCACUCAUUUGUUGAUUAUCAUGUAUGGAGCCUUGACAGACUUAAAGUCAACCUGAAAUGUCAUUUAAUUAUGUUUCUAGAAAAUCCAAGCCACUCAAUAUUUCCUACAUUUUCUAGCACAAGUCAUGCCAAAAUUCAUGGAAAAAUCCGGCAUGACCUUUGCUAAAAAAGGACAUAUCGAUGGCCUGAAAUUUGCCAGAACGGAAAUUAAUCAACACUCCGGCAAAACAUAGGCCACUCGGAGGUGUAACCUGCAAAGAUGGCCGUCCACUUGGGCAAGCACAUAUCCUAUUUGAGCAACACAAGAUAUACAUGUUUAUAUCUACAUCAUAUGAGCAUUCAAACUUGAUGGUCAUUGCAUUUCAACGGUUGAAAAUAUGAAAAAAAACAUUUCAAAAUAUCUUAUAGCACUCAUAUUUACAUGGAGAUUUGGCUGGUCUCACCUCGAGGUCGGAGGGGGUCGGUGACGGGGACGACGGCGGGGAUGAUGGAGGGGCUCCUUGAUUUCUGCAAAAACAAAAACCCUAUAAGCUAUCAACUAAUCAAAUGCAUAUGCCCUCUCCAAUUUGAGCAUUCAAAAUAGGAGUAGUUCUCCAAUUUGAGCAUUCAAUAAGCAAAACCAAAUCAUAAAAUAAAUUAGUAUUCAAAUUAGCAUGCAUUCAAUAAGCAAAACUAAAUCAUCUCUUCUAUCCGUACAUCAUCGAAUAUUAUCACUAAUACAUCUCGAAUAGUAUCAUACAUAUAACAUCACUAAUACAGGUUAAACCCUAGCAAACGACGGGUAUCGGCGCGGGUGGUGGAUACCUAAAGAGAAGGAACCAUCACUGGAUCAUAGCUCUAGUGAGAUCCCUGAAGAACCAGCCAUGUAUUGGAGAACCUGCCCUCCAAUGCAACCAUGUAGCGAUGGACGUGCUCGUCCUCCUCGCUGACACGGUGACGUACCAUCUCCUCGGGGUCCUCAAGCGUGCGCACCGUCACUAGCCCACCCGACCGCCACCAAAGAAGGUUCGGGUCAAUGACGGGCUGGCUCCUCACCAAGCUGUGCCCCCAGAAGGUAGCACCUCCCAGUACUAGCCUGGCGGAGCCCAGUCCCGGACAUGGCCUCCUCCGCCGAGUCGACGACAAGGAUGCGGGAUAGGCAUCAUCGAUGUCGUUGCGGGAAUAAUUUCUUUAACUAAGAAAAUAACAAAAAAUGUGACAUGUUCAAAAUAUGACAUGUCCACUUCACAACGAAUCAACCUAGAAUUCUAUUAAAUACACAUAAAAAUAAACUAGUUCUAUUAAUUUUCAUACUAAAACUAACUAGUUCUAUAGUAACAUUUUAAUUAGAUCAUCAAAUCUCAUAUAAUUUAAUUUUCUUACUAAAAAUAAACUAGUUCUAUUAAUUCAACUAGGUAAACUAAACACUUACUAUAAAUAAAAAUAAACUAUUAUUACUAAAAAUAAACUAGUUCAACUACUUUUAUUAAUUUUCUUACUAAAAAUAAACUAGUUCUAUUAAUUCAACUAGUUCUUACUAAAAAUAAACUAGUUCUAUUAAUUUUCUUACUAAUUCUAUUAAAAACUUACUAAAAACAGUAAAAAAACUAUGUUGCAUUUUUUCUCUAAACUAAACACUACUGCCCUAAUUAACAUCUAGUUAAACCCUACUGCCCUAACCCUACUGCCCUAGUUCUUAAGGAUCUAUUAGUACUAACUAAUUUGAUGAACCCUAGCUAGGUACUUAAGCAUCUACAACUACUUAAGCACCCAUUGAUGAAUCCUAGGAAUUUGUCCUAAAAACUACUUAAGCAUCUACAACUACUGCCCUAAUUAACAUCUAGUUUACAAUUAUAUUUUCUUAACUACAUUGGGUGCACAACAACUAUAUAAAUACUUAAGCAUCUAGAAGUAGUAGCUAAUUUGAUGAACCCUAAAAUUUGAUGAACCCUAGGAACCCUAGCUUGGAAGGGGUAGGGAAGGAGGAGGAGGAGGAGGAGGUGUAGGCAUGCUCACCUCGGGCGCCGACGGAGUUAGGGAGCGGCUGAGGGAGGGGCACGCGGCGUCGAGGUCGGGAUCAGGGCUCGGGCGUGCGGUGGAGGGCGGCGAUGUAGGGCGACGAUAAUGGCGGCCACUAAGGGCAGCAGAGGGCGUGUGGAGGGCGACGGGAGAGUGCGCGGCGGCCGACGACGAUAUGGGGUGACGAUGGCGAUGACAGCAGCUUGAGGGGGGAUUUGGGGGAAGUGGUCGGGGGGAAUAAGAACCAUGUGGUUAAGUCAAAAAUAGCAGUAGUGCUUGCCCAGAAAAGCGCUACUUACUGCUACAUUAGCUAUAACGCUGGCUAACAAAAUGCGCUACUGCUACGUCUGCUAUAGUGCUUGUCCUGAAAGCAAUCUACUGCUACUCCUUUCUCCUUUAUUUUCUUUUUCUUUUAUUUUCCUUCACACUUUAUUUUUUUCCUUUCCCCUUUUUCUAUUUCUUUCAUUUUCAUUUACUUUUGUAUAUGUUUUUCAUUUUAUUUUAUUUUCAUUAGCAGUAGCACUUUCCGCAUAAAACACGCUGCUACAACCAUCUUAGCAGCAGCGCGCUUUGUAUAAGCUUGCUACUAAUAUUCCUAGCCUGCCAAGAACGAUGUGGGAAUUCUAGUAGUAGCACUUCUUUCUUCAGACGCGCUACUGCUAUAAACUUAGCUGUAGCGCGUUUAUUUACCGGCGCUAGUGGUAAGUAGUAGUAGCGCUUCUUUUUGACCAGUGCUACUGGUAAGUUUCUGUGUAUAAGGUUUUCCCUAGUAGUGCUUGAAAACUGUUCCGAUCCCCUAUACUUGUUGGUUAUCAUCCGUCAUGGCCGCCACCCCACUGCCGGCCACCAUGGCCAUCACCUGCUCCGCCAUCGCGGCCUGAAGGCGGGAGGUGGUAGUCGUGUCCGCCACCCAUUGUCACCCGCAGUGGCCACCAGCCCACCGUCGACCGCCGGGGUCAUCACCCGCUCCGCCACUGCCCCCGAAGGCGGGAGGCGGAGGUGGAGGCCCGCACGUGCGUGAGUGACCUUGUGCGCUACAUCGAGUUCCUGCGGGAGGAGGAGGAGCACCUCACCGAGCACACAAAGAGCCUUACCACCGCCGAGGGAGUCCUGGAUUAGGGGGUCUACGGACCGCCAGACUAUAUCCUUUGGCUGGACUGUUGGACUAUGAAGACACAAGAUUGAAGACUUCGUCCCAUGUCCGGAUGGGACUCUACUUGGCGUGGAAGGCAAGCUAGGCAAUACGGAUAUGUAUAUCUCCUCCUUUGUAACCGACCUUGUGUAACCCUAGCCCCCUCCGUUGUCUAUAUAAACCAGAGGGUUUUAGUCCGUAGGACAACAGACAAUCAUACCAUAGGCUAGCUUCUAGGGUUUAGCCUCUUCGAUCUCGUGGUAGAUCAACUCUUGUACUACUCAUAUUAUCAAGAAUAAAUCAAGCAGGACGUAGGGUUUUACCUCCAUCAAGAGGACCCGAACCUGGGUAAAACAUCGUGUCCCCUGCCUCCUGUUACCAUCCGCCUUAGACGCACAGUUCGGGACCCCCUACCCGAGAUCCGCCGGUUUUGACACCGAUAUUGGUGCUUUCAUUGAGAGUUCCUCUGUGUCGUCGCCGUUAGGCUUGAUGGCUCCUUCGAUUAUCGAUAGUGAUGCGGUCCAGGGUGAGACUUUUCUCCCCGGACAGAUCUUUGUAUUUGGCGGCUUCGCACUGCGGGCCAACUCGCUUGGCCAUCUGGAGCAGAUCAAGAGUUACGCCCCUGGCCACCAGGUCAGGUUUGGAAGCUUAAACUACACGACCGAUCUCCGCGGAGACUUGAUCUUCGACGGAUUCGAGCCCCUUCUUAGUGCGCCACACAGUCACGAUGAGCAUGAUUUAGCUCUGCCAUCGGACAGUGUCCAGGAGAUCGCGCCGGCAACCGCUCCGAUCCUCAAUUCGGAGCCAGUUGCGCCAUCCAUGGACGAGUGGAUAGACCCCGCCACGGAGGCCGCACUCUCAUCGGCGAUUGAGCCGAGUGUCGACCUUACCCUUCACGGGAGCCAUGAUGCCGAACUACCGAAUUCCUCCCCGGCCACGGACUCCGAACCGCCUGCGCCCGUGCCUAUCGAAUCCGAUUGGGCGCCGAUCAUGGAGUUUACCUCCGCGGAUAUUUUUCAGCACUCGCCCUUCGGCGACAUACUGAACUCAUUAAGGUCUCUCUCCUUGUCAGGAGAAUCCUGGCCGAACUAUGUCCGGCAGGAUUGGGAUGCGGAUGACAAAGAAAUUCGCCGCCCACCCACCACCUACUUAGUAGCCACUGUCGAUGACUUAACCGACAUGCUCGACUUCGACUCCGAAGACAUCGACGGUAUGGACGACGAUGCGGGAGACGAAGAGGAACCACUACCCAUAGGGCACUGGACAACCACCUCAACAUAUGAUAUAUACAUGGUGGACACACCCAAAGAAGCCAAUGGCGACGAGACAACGGAGGAUGACCCCUCCAAGAAGCAACCCAAGCGCCAACGUCAGUGGCGCCGCUCUAAGUCUCGCCAAAGCAAAAGUGGUGACACCAGCACAGGAGAUAAUACCACUCCGGACAGUGCCGAAGACGACAACAAUCCCCUCCAGCAAGAUUUAGGGCAGGAGGAUGGAGAAGCCAACCCUCCCGAGAGAGCGGCAGAUGGAGAGGCGGAGGAUGAUAAUUACAUGCCUCCCUCCGAAGACGAGGCAAGCCUCGACGAUGACGAAUUCGUCGUGCCUGAGGAUCCCGUCGAACAAGAGUCCUUCAAGCACCGGCUUAUAGCCACGGCAAAUAGCCUUAAGAAAAAGCAACAGGAGCUUCAAGCUGAUCAAGAUUUGCUAGCUGACAGAUGGACUGAAGUCCUUGCGGCCAGGGAAUAUAAACUCGAACGCCCCUCCAAGAUUUACCGAAAGCGUACGUUGUUACCCCGACUGGAGGAGGAAGCACUCAAACCUACAUCUCCAGCAUAUGAUGCGGCUGACCGGCCACCUCAUGGCCGAGACAGAGAGGCAUUUCAGCCAAAAGCUCAGCUCGCACUCCGACGCCACUCAAAUAAAAUUGUCAAGGCAUGGGGAAAUACGCCAAACCUGUGAGACGUAUUGGAGGACAAAGCAAAACAUGCAAGAUUGAUCUACAGAUCACGAGGGCGCGCCACUAUGUGAGACGAUAAUCGUCACGCCGGAUACAGUAAAAGUAAGUCCAGCCGGGCCGAACACAGCGGGUAAGACUCAUUUGAGCUGCGUCGCGAUAUAGCCCAGUACAGAGGCGCCGCACACCCCCUAUGCUUCACAAACGAAGUAACGGAUCAUCAAAUCCCAAAGGGUUUCAAACCUGUAAAUAUAGAAUCAUACGACGGCACAACAGAUCCUGCGGUAUGGGUCGAGGACUUCCUCCUGCACAUCCACAUGCCCCGCGGUGAUGAUUUACACGCCAUCAAAUACCUCCCACUCAAGCUCAAAGGACCAGCUCGGCAUUGGCUCAACAGCCUGCUAGCAUAAUCCAUUGGUUGUUGGGAAGAUCUAGAAGCCGCAUUCCUCGACAACUUCCAGGGAACUUAUGUGUGACCACCGGAUGCCGAUGACUUGAGCCACAUAAUUCAGUAGCCAUAGGAAUCGGCCAGGCAAUUCUGGACACGGUUCCUAACAAAGAAAAAUCAAAUCAUCGAUUGUACGGAUGCAGAGGCCCUAGCAGCUUUUAUGCACAACAUCCGCGACGAGUAGCUCGCCCGGCACCUUGGCCAGGAAAAGCCAAAAUCUAUGGCAGCCCUCACGACACUCAUGACCCGCUUUUGCGCGGGAGAAGAUAGCUGGCUGGCUCACAGCAAUAACAUAUCAAAGAACCAUGGUACUUCGGAUACCAAGGAUGGCAAUGGCAGGUCACAUCGCAACAAACUCAAGCGCCGCAUCAACAACGACAAUACCGAGGAUACGACAGUCAAUGCCGGAUUCAAAGGCUCUAAACCCGGUCAGCGGAAAAAGCCAUUCAAAAGAAGCACUCCGGGCCCGUCCAGUUUGGACAGUAUACUCGACCGCUCGUGUCAAAUACACGGCACCCCUGACAAGCCAGCCAACCACACCAACAGGGAUUGUUGGGUGUUCAAGCAGGCCGGCAAGUUAAAUGCCGAAAACAAAGAUAAGGGGUCGCAUAGCGAUGACGAGGAGGAGCCCUGGCAGCCGAACACCGGAGGACAGAAGAGGUUCCCCCCACAAAUGCGGACGGUGAACAUGAUAUACGCAACCCACAUCCCCAAGAGGGAGCGGAAGCGUGCGCUAAGGGACGUAUAUGCAUUGGAGCCAGUCGCCCCAAAGUUCAACCCAUGGUCCUCUUGCCCAAUCACCUUUGAUCGCAGGGACCACCCCACUAGUAUCCAUCAUGGCGGAUUCGCCGUACUGGUUCUAGACCCAAUCAUUGACGGAUUUCACCUCACUCGAAUCCUUAUGGAUGGCGGCAGCAGCCUGAACCUACUUUAUCAGGACACAGUGCGCAAAAUGGGUAUAGACCCCUCAAGGAUCAAACCCACCAAAACGACCUUCAAAGGCGUCAUACCAGGUGUAGAGGACCAUUGCACAGGCUCAGUCACACUGGAAGUGGUCUUCGGAUCACCGGAUAACUUCCGAAGUGAGGAGUUAAUCUUCGAUAUAGUCCCGUUCCGCAGUGGCUAUCAUGCACUGCUCGGGCGAACCGCAUUUGCGAGAUUCAAUGCGGUACCGUAUUAUGCAUACCUCAAGCUCAAGAUGCCAGGACCUCGGGGGGUCAUCACAGUCAAUGGAAACACAAAGCACUCUCUCCGUACGGAGGAGCACACUGCGGCCCUCGCAGCAGAAGCGCAAAGAAGCCUCUUAAGGCAAUCCACCAGUUUGGCGAUUCAAGAUCCGGACACCUUCAAGUGCGCCCGGAGUAAUCGGCAACUAGACCGCCUGGCAUGUUCCGAGCUCGCAUAGCAAUGCGGCCCCCACUCCAGUACCAGCCAAACGGCGAAAUCCAUGCCACGCGUACAUAAUUACACAUUGAAAAUACCAUGGGCCAAGGUGGGGAGGGGGGCAUGACUACGGCACGCCCCAAAACGCGGCUCAACCGCACUAGGGGCUUCCCGCUUUGUUAUUUUUCUCUAUUUCUGGACUUUAAUCUCUAGAAACCCUGUUCGGCAGUAUGAUUGCCGAACACAUGAUGCAGCAACCAAGGAGGUAGAAAGCUACGUCGCACCACGGAACUCCCAGGUGGAUUACAAUAACGAGUGAAAUACUUGCUUUAAUACCAUUCCUCAGCUUGCCCUUGGAGGGGACAUGCCAAAUAGUCCUACUUUUUGCUUAUCGCACUACUUGUAUCGUUCUGCUUUAACGCACCUUUUUGAAUAAACAAUGCAUAGCACUAGACUAUUAUUGCAUUCUCUAUUCUUCUUCUUAUAUACAUAUAUAUGUUCAUUCAUGACAUCCAGCACCCGUACACUCUGGUACGGCCAGUACGCUAGGGGCUUAAGCAUACCCCAUAAUACGACGUGAGAAGUCCGAACACUUUCGAUAGUGCGGCACCCCGAACACUUUCGAUAGUGCGGCACUCCCAUGUUUUGGUACCUUACGUUCCGCUAUAUCGGCUAAGGUAGCACUGGGAGAACUACUGCGAUUGUGCCCCGGUUCAGCUGGGCUAAGCACCUCAGUAGAGAAAGCUAAAACUGACUGUCAUGAUAAGGCGAGAGUUGGUUGCUGUUCGAGAGGUUUCGAGUCCCUAAAGACUUAUGCCGCUUAGAGCAAGGAGUCGGCUUUGUAGGCGUGUAUAGCACCCCGAAUUCAGCCUUCCGAAUACUAGGGGCUCACCAAAAUUUCAAAUUAUAGAAUUCUAUGGCUAAGUGAGCGUGAUAAAGCAUUAUAGUUCGAUUGCCUUGUUCGUUGUGCUGAGCACCUCCCUCGAAGGACCCAAAAAUGGGAAAAAGAGUGCUCAGGUUUAUCCCGAACACCUCAGCACUCGUGGCAUUGGGGCAGAAGCCGACGACUAGCCAUCUCUCAGAUUUGAUAAACAGCCGAACAGAAGGUAAUAUUUUAAAUUCAAACAAGCGUUGCAUAGCACAUAUGAACAAGUUUUCAUAAUACAGGAUCACACAAGCAAGUUCAUUCAAAUAUUACAUCUUUCGCACACUCGUCCGCUACAAGACUGGCACCCUUCAAGACACCCUCAUAAUACAUCUCGGGGUGGCGAUGCUCCUUGCCCUGCGGUGGCCCCUCCUUCACCAGCUUCUCGGUGUCCAUCUUGGCCCAGUGCACCUUCGCACGGGCAAAAGCUCGAUGUGCACCUUCGAUGCAGAUGGACCGCUUGAUGACUUCCAGUCGUGGGCAGGCAUCCACAAGCCGCCUCACCAGGCCGAAGUAGCUGUUGGGAAGGGAGUCGCUAGGCCACAUCUGGACUAUAAAGCCCUUCAUGGCCUGUUCGGCCGCCUUGUGUAGCUCGACCAGUUGCUUCAGCUGGUCGGUCACAGGCAUCGGGUGUUCAGUCCCAGUAUACUGAGACCAGAACAACUUCUUCGUCGAGCUUCCCUCCUUGGCCUGGUAAUAUUCCGCGGCAUCCGACACACUGCAGGGCAAAUCUGCGAAUGCUCCUGGAGAGCUCCGGACUCGGGUAAGUAACAAGUAAUUUACUUGUACAUGCUUGCUUUGCAUAUUGAAUGCCUUACCCGCCGCUAUCUUCCGCAUCACCUCAAUCUCCUGGACGGCUUUUUGGGCUUCGGCCUUGGCAUUCUUUGUGCUCUCGAGGGCCGUGGCAAGCUCAGACUCUCGCGUCUUCGAGUCAAGCUCCAAAGCCUCGUGCUUCGUCACAAGAGCCUGGAGCUCUUGCUGCACCUCGCCCACCCGUGCCUCUUGCUUUUCCCGCUCGGUGCGCUCCUAGGCCGCUUUGUUUUCGGCCUCUAACAGCACUUGCUUCAAGGUCGCCACUUCGGUCGUGGCCCCUGGCAAAUUCAUGAUGAUCCUGUCAUUUCGCAAUCGCAUCUUUUUUGUAUAUAUAUAUAUCUAUAGACAAGGUAUUACUUACCUUUGAUCUCCUCGAGCUGCCUCUUAGCAAGGCUGAGCUCUUUCUCGGACCCCGCAAGGUCCUGCUUCAGUGCGGCGACCUCCGCAGUCAGUGCAGCAGAGGUCAGCAGCGAAGCCUGCAUACGCAUAUAGACAUACUUAUAUUAGACUCCUGCAGAUAUUAUUUGAUCCUCUAUUCGGCUUUUCUUUGUGAACACCAAACAUAGCAUUAGGGGCUACUGUCUAUGCGGUAAUAUUUUUCCUAUAUUUUAAAUACUUACCUCAAAGCCUGUUAGAAGGCUGGCACAGGCUUCAGUCAGUUCGCUCUUGGCGGACUGAACCUUCUUGAUCACAGCACUCAUAAUAGUGCGGUGCUCUUCGUCGAUGGAAGCGCCGCGAAGCGCUCCCAGCAGGUUGUCUGAUGCCUCUGGAUGGACAAAGGUCACCGGCACAGGCGUCUUGCACCUUUUGGAAGGGGGCCGCCUGCCCGAGUCCGGAACCACUGGAGGUUCCGGCGCGGUGUUCGGCUGAGAGCCAAACUUGGGGGCCCCGGGAGCCUUGCUCCCUUUGCUCCUGGAGUCCAUAAGGUCGCCUUGAGGCGCCUCCGGGACUGUCUCCCCCCGGCUCACUGCCCCUUGAGACAAUACUUCGAUAUUGUCCGUAGGGCAAGGGGAGGAGGCGGUCGGAAGUGGAUCACUAUCCAUAUCCGACGAGUCCAUGGAACCGUCCGACGAGGAUACGUCGAUACGGGCUUGGGGCGGUCUGCAUAAUCAUAUUUGGCGUUAGGAGAAGCAGUGCGACAACGGUAUGCUAUGAGUUACUCUGGUAUCUGAAUUCUUACGACUUCGCCAGGGGCUUGGCCCUGAGCAGCCACUCGUCUUCGCCUUCGGCGGCAGAGGUGGAGCAGUCCGGAAGAAGAGUCCUUCCCUUCUUGGACCCUUCGGCCUCCCCGAUUAGGGCGGCCUUCCUUUUCUUGUCUCCCCCGGCUAGAGGGGGAGCAUCCUCAUCUUCCUUCUCGUUUUCAUGGGAGGAGUGCGUAUCGGAGUUAUCGGACUCCUCCUAUGAGCUUGCUGCAGUUCUCUGAGCUUGUCAAGAACCAAACGCAAGUGCUUGGCAUGAUCUUCCUUGUUCUUCGAGAAAACCAGAAUGUCGUCGAGAUAGACCAGAACGAAUUCAUUGGUGUAGGGGUUGAAGAUGAAGUUCAUCAUGCGAGAGAACGUCGGAGGAGCGUUGGCGAGGCCAAAAGACAUGACGGUGUAUUCAUAUGAACCAAAGCUUGUCCUGAACGCCGUCUUUGGAAUAUCUUGCUCACGAAUACGAAUCUGAUGAUAACCCAUACGGAGAUCAAGCUUGGAGAAUACUUGAGCACCCUUGAGUUGUUCGAACAGCUCAUUGAUGUUGGGAAGUGGGUAUUUGUUCUUGAUGGUCUUCUUGUUUACUGGACGGUAAUCAACACAAAGUCGACUCGAUCCAUCCUUCUUCUUCACAAAAAGAACACCACAACCCCACGGAGAAGUACUAGGCCGCAUGAGACCCAAUCUUUCUUGCUCAUCGAGUUGUUUCUUCAACUCCUUCAACUCUUCGGGGCCGAGCUUGUAGGGACGUUUGCACACAGGUUCCGUACCGGGCUCAAGUUCAAUAACAAAUUCAACCGGCCGGUUUGGAGGCAUCCCUGGAAGCUCUUCUGGAAAGACGUCUUGAUACUCACAAACAACCGGAAUCUGCGAAAUAGCAUCCAAUUCACCCUUCUCAUUGAGAGAAAACAACCGGAUGGUAUUAUCCCGAGCGGCAAAGACAAUGACAUCCUCAGACGAAUGAGUCAGUUGAAUCUGCCUGGCUGCACAAUCAAGCUGAGCUCUAUGCUUAGAGAGCCAGUCCAUCCCGAGAAUAAGAUCGAUAUCCGAGUUGCCAAGAACCGUAGGAGAAGCCAAGAACUUGUAGUCACCCAGAGUGAUAGAAACAUCCGGAACGAUGGAGUUAGCCUGCAUGCGCUUACCGGGAGAGACAACUGCUAAAGGACUAGGCAAAAUUUGUGAAGGCAAACCAUGCUUAGAUGAAAAUGGUCUCGAGAUGAAACAAUGCGAUGCACCUGUGUCAAAAAGAACAUUUGCAGGAAUAUCAUUAACAGGAAGGUUACCCAUGAUCACAUCUGACGAGUCCUCUGCCUGAGCUGCAUUCAUCAAGUUGACCUUGGCGGACUUGGGGUUAUGCUUGACCACAGCUGUACUUGCCGAUCUGACAGGAGGAGGAGGAGGAAGACGCCUCUGGUUGGUACACUUGUUGGCAUAGUGACCCUUCUGUUGGCACUUGUUGCACGUGACCUCUGAAAGCGGACGGUGAUACGGAGCACUCGAUCUUGGCGCUUGAGACGAAGAUUUGUUCUGAAAGCCUGGGUUGGGUGGGUGGGAGAAACCACUGCCACCUUUGCUCUUCUGCUGAUACGGCUGACGGAACGGAGGAGGAGGAAGCCAAUACUUCUGUUGCUUGACCACUUGAGUAGAGGAAGACAGAGUAAUAUCUCUGGCACGCUUCCUGGAAGCAUCACAUCUCAUCUGAGCAGCCUCUUGCUUCAGUGCCAUGUUGUAGAACUCAUCGUAUCUCAACGGCUCAAAGAGGACAAGAGCGAGCUGAAUUUCCUCACGAAGACCACCCCUGAACUGAUAGAUCAUGCUCUUCUCGUCAGGAACAUCCUGCUUGGCAAAACGGGCGAGCUUCUGGAACAACUUGUUGUAGUCAUAGACAGACAAAGAGCCUUGCUUCAGAUUGCGGAAUUCCUGACGCUUACUCUCAACCACACUUUGAGGGAUGUGAUGAGCGCGGAAAUCUUGACGGAAAUCGUCCCAAGUGAUAACACGUCCACCUCUGGAAUCCUUGUACUGCUGGAACCACUCUGCAGCCUGAUCUUUGAGCUGGAAAGAAGCGAACUUGACGAAAUCUUCAGGCCUGACGUUGCUGCAUUCAAAAUGCUUGCCCAGAUCCACUAGACAAUCGUCAGCGUCGGUAGCCUCAACACAACCGCUGAACGUCUUUGGGCCAUUAGCAAGGAACUGGUUCAGAGUAGCAAAGUGGUGCUGAUUGUGGCCUUGAUUCCCUUGACUGCCUUGAUUGCGCUCUUGAAGGAUUUGCAUGAUCAACUGUGUGUUUGCAUUAGUAGCGGCCAUCACAGCUUGCCAUGCUUCCGGAGGAGGCGGAGGUGGAGGCGGAUCAGGAUUCGGAGUCGUGCGCGUUGGAGGAGCCAUCCUGAAGAGGUUGACCACCAUUAGCACAUAGAUAGACAACAAUAUUGAAGCUGAAUCCAACGGAAUGAAAAUUGCAACAUAUAGUCUUCACAUCCGAACAAAAUGAACGAAUGCAUUCCUCUUCAAAUGAUCACAUAUCCACAAAUUGAGAAGCCACGAAGAAUUAAGGUAGAGAAAUAAAUCAACAAGGUACGGAUCAAGAACGAAUAAUCAGUAAGAAAUCCCAAUCUCAAACCAAUAUCCGUGGAAGAAGAACUAGAGCUACUAGAUUUCCCACCUAUGAAACUCCCGAACCUUUCCGGUUAUGCAAUCAGGUGUUGGGGAUACAGGGGAAGCACAAUAUCUCACCCAAACUAGCAAAUCCUACAUCCAGCUGUAUCCAUCCUUCAACACAUAACCAGGAAAACUUCGGAAACCAUCUACCUCAACCUUCGAAAAGCAUCCGUUAUACAAGUUAUGGCGAUACUCCCGAACUCCCGCCCCAGUACUGGGUGGCGUCGAGGUUAUCUCACCAACGAACUGCAUAAAAGAGAUUUUCGAUGUCGGCGAACAUAUCUCAAGUAUACCAGAAUUGCAACGAUAAAAUUGUGACGACAACACCUCGGAGCUCAACUCCCCGGGACACUGCCACAACCCCUAAAGACAGGAGGAACCAAGAACAAUGUUCUCGUCACAAAACCAUCGGAACAAAACCAAGAUACUCGCGUGAUCCUAAAAAAAAUUUUAAGUGAAAUUUGAGAAGAGAAGAGUCAAAACUCUACGUCAGGAUGCCUUACCAGAGCGAUGAGGAGGCUGAGAAGUAAAAAGAAUUCCUAAGCUCUCCGAUAUACAAUUCCUAAGGACUCAAAACAUUUUUUUUCUAGACACAACUCGGCUGCUAAAAACGAUCAAGCAAAGGGGCUCCUAAGGUCGGGGAAGGCUCUGUUACCAACUUGUAACGCCCUCGAUGCGGCUAUAGCUCCCACGUGUCGAGGCACGACUUAGAGGCAUAACCGCAUUGAAAGCAAUGUCGCAAGUCAGGCAAUCAUUACAACAUCCCAUGUAAUAUAUAAUAAAAGGGGGAGAUAAUAUAGUUGGCUUACACUCACCACGUCACAUCAGAGUACAUAAAUAACAUCCAUCAAACAAGCACUCAUGGCCCGACUACGGCGCCAAAAUAGAAAAGACCCCCAACAUGCGACAAGGUCCUGAAUCGAUAACCCCAACUAGGCACCACUACUGAUCAUCUGGAAAGGACACGUAGUAUCGCUGAGAGUCCUCGUCGAACUCCCACCUGAGCUCGUAAUCGUCAACUGGAGCAGAAUCACCUGGACCUGCAUCUGGAGUUGUAGUAUCUGUGAGCCACAGGGACUCAGCAAUCUCACACCCACGCGAUCAAGACUAUUUAAGCUCAUAGGAAUGGAUAAGGCAAAUAUAUGUGGAGCUGCAGCAAGUGACUAGCAUAUGUGGCGGCUAACUUAUACGCAAAAGAGAGCGAGAAGAGAAGGCGAAGCACGAGCGAGAAGCUAAAGGAACAUCCUGCGCAAGCAUAACUCCAACACCGUGUCCACUUCCCGGACUCCGCCGAGAAGGGGCCAUCACGGUAACACACACGGUUGUUUCGUUUUAAUUAAGUUUAAUUAAAGUUAUCUACAACCGGACAUUAACAAAUUCCCAUCCGCCCAUAACCGCGGGCACGGCUUUCGAAAGAUCAAUCCCUGCAGGGGAGUCCCAACUUAGCCCAUGACAAGCUCUCACGGUCAACGAAGGAAUAGACCUCCUCCCAAGACGUUCCGAUCAGACUCGGUAUCUCGGUAACUCAAGACACUUCGACAGGUUAAAACAAGACCAGCAACACCGCCCGAAUGUGCCGACAAAUCCCGAUAGGAGCUGCACAUAUCUCUUUCUUAGGGCACACUCAGAUUGUCUUAGGUACGGGUAGGCCAGCCCAGAGUUGCCCCUGGUAGCCACCGGUAGCUGACAGGUGGACCAACACUCAGAGGAGCACUGGCCCGGGGGGGGGGUAAAAUAAGAUGACCCUCGGGCUCCGGAAACCCAAGGGAAAAAAAGAGGCUAGGUGGCAAAUGGUAAAACCAAUGUUGGGCAUUGCUGGAAAAGCUUUAAUCAAGGCGAACUAUCAAGGGGUUCCCAUUAUAGCCCAACCGCGUAAGGGACGCACAAUCCGGGAACAUAACACCGAUAUGACGGAAACUAGGGCGGCAAGAGUGGAACAAAACACUAGGCGAGAGGCCGAGCCUUCCACCCUUUGCCAAGUAUAUAGAUGCAUUAAGAUAACAUAGCAAUAAAAUGAUAUCCCAACAAGAAUAUAAAUGUUCCAACAAGGAACGGCUCCAAUCUUCACCUGCAACUAACAACGCUAUAAGAAGGGCUGAGCAAAGCGGUAACAUAGCCAAUCAAUGGUUUGCUAGGACAAUGGUGGGUUAGAGGUUCAACAUGCCAAUUGGGAGGCUGACAAGCAAAAGGUAGGCAUCGUAGCAGUGGCAAAGCAAAAGAGCGAGCAAACUAGCAUAGCAAAGAUAGUAGUGAUUUCGAGGGUAUGAUCAUCUUGCCUGCACAGUUGUCAGAGUUGACUGGAUCCUCACAAGCAAACUCAACGGGCUCCUCGGUAGCGAACUCGUCUCCCGGCUCUACCCAGCAAGACAAACAAGCAACAAGGAUACAAUCAACCACGGGCAAGACCAAGCAAUAUGAUGAAAUGACGAUAUGCUAUGCGGGAUGCGAUGCGGGAUGCAAAAUGCAAGAUAUGACAGGAAAUGCAUGAACCUGGCAUCAACUUGGAAAACCAAGUGUGCCACUGGAUAGAGGGGAUGAAAUCGCUUGAAAACGAUAUAAAGAUCAUAGGAAUCGGAGCUACGGUUUAGAAAUGGCAAGCGUUUUAAGAUAUGACACAGGUCUGCGAUUUACAGCAAGUAGGCAUCUAAAUGCAACGAAAUGAACAUGCUACAGCCACCAAACAUGAAAACAAAAUACAUGGCAGUGAUGUACACAAGAUGGUUGACAAAACACUAGCACUGAGCCAUAGGCAAAUUCAUCCAUUAAGAGGUUCAAACAAGCAUGGCUAAAAUGCAAAUGCAAAACAGAUUUCAGACUUAGUGAAAUUAACACUAGUCUGAAAUUUCAGAUCACGAAGCUCUCUUCGGAGCAGCAAAACAACAUGAUAGAAAACCUGAACAUGACAAGUAAGAACAUGUCAUGGAGCUACUCAUCAAGCUUAAUAAAACACCCAAAGUGACCUGGGGCCAAAAGGGUUCACAAAAUACUCUACCGAGCUCACGAACAUCGCUCGAACACAAUCAGUUUUCAGACUUGGUGAAAACUGAGACAUGCUGAAAUUUAACUCACGAAGGCAUGUAAACGAGCUCGAUGCACUCACUACGGUGCAAGUCAUGGCAAGGAAAGCAUAUAACCAUCAAGAAGGCACAAAGUGCUAGCUACACAUGGCAAGAACGAAGGCAUAGCAUGCAUGGAACUCUAACGGUAGCAUCGGCGAAAUCGGAAACAAGUUGACGAUCUGCCCAGAUUAACAACGAAGCAAAAGUUGAGCUCGAUUGAGUCAACCUAGAGCACUCCACAAAUGCCAACAAAGCCAUGGAUGGAUAGAGCAUGACAUAAAUAUCAAAACUCCCUUACUUAUCAUCCUCAAAAGAGGCACGGAUCAUUAGGAAACAAGCUGGACAUAUAGCAUCAUGAACUAAAAUAUCCCAGACUUAGCGAAAAUCACUAAGUCCCUGAAAUCUGCAAUCUCAGGUACCUCUCUUCGCAAGCUUGCACAGGACAACACACACAUCCUAAAAAUGCAUGGGUGGCACCUCUGGAAAGAAGACAAGAUGCUUCACAAUUCAUCCCAAAGGGGCACAGGCAUAUCAUGCACGAAUUAAAUAUGACAAAAAUGACAAAAGUGCAUGAUGAACUAACGAGUCUGCAAUUUAACUCACGAAGCCUCCUUCUACCAGCAUUUUGGGUAUCAAGAUGACCUCAAAUGCAAAUGAUGCAAUGGAAUGAAAUGAUUUACAUGUCGAGGCGAAGAUUUUGACAUAUCAUACGCCCAAAACGGAUCUACGGUUGCGGAGAUACGAGCAGUCAAACAUCGCAUAAAAAAUUAGGGUUACGGGGAUGAAAAGUCAACCUAGAGGAUUAGAUCUCAGAUCUGGCGCGGUUUACGAAGUUCGCCGGAAACACUGUAGCUGCUCGCCGGAGUUGCGCCGGAGAGGCCCAGGAGCUCGCCGGAGCUCGGGGAAGAGGCCGGGGAGGUCGGGGUCGCCGGAUCCGGCACUCCCGCGGCCGGAUCUGGCCGGAGACGCGGCGAGGAGGCGGCAGCCNNNNNNNNNNNNNNNNNNNNNNNNNNNNNNNNNNNNNNNNNNNNNNNNNNNNNNNNNNNNNNNNNNNNNNNNNNNNNNNNNNNNNNNNNNNNNNNNNNNNNNNNNNNNNNNNNNNNNNNNNNNNNNNNNNNNNNNNNNNNNNNNNNNNNNNNNNNNNNNNNNNNNNNNNNNNNNNNNNNNNNNNNNNNNNNNNNNNNNNNNNNNNNNNNNNNNNNNNNNNNNNNNNNNNNNNNNNNNNNNNNNNNNNNNNNNNNNNNNNNNNNNNNNNNNNNNNNNNNNNNNNNNNNNNNNNNNNNNNNNNNNNNNNNNNNNNNNNNNNNNNNNNNNNNNNNNNNNNNNNNNNNNNNNNNNNNNNNNNNNNNNNNNNNNNNNNNNNNNNNNNNNNNNNNNNNNNNNNNNNNNNNNNNNNNNNNNNNNNNNNNNNNNNNNNNNNNNNNNNNNNNNNNNNNNNNNNNNNNNNNNNNNNNNNNNNNNNNNNNNNNNNNNNNNNNNNNNNNNNNNNNNNNNNNNNNNNNNGAUCUGUUUUUUUUAGGGUUUCGGGGAGAGGGAGAGAUCCGAAAACGGAGGGGUGUAUAUAUAGGCAUAGAGGGAGCUAGGAGAGUCCAAAUGAGGUGCGGUUUUCGCCCACACGAUCGUGAUCGAACGCUCUAGGACAUGGAGCAGAGUUUGGUGGGUUUUGGGCCAAAUUUGGGGGGUGUUGGGCUGCAACACACACGAGGCCUUUUCGGUCCCUCGGUUAACCGUUGGAGUAUCAAACGAAGUCCAAAUGACCCGAAACUUGACAGGCGGUCUACCGGUAGUAAACCAAGGCCGCUUGGCAAGACUCGGUCCAAUCCGGAAAUGUUUAAACCCCACACAAGAAAGAAAGCUAGAAAUGACCACCGGAGGAGAACGAAGCGCCGGAAUGCAAAACGGACAACGGGGAAAAUGCUCGAAUGCAUGAGAUGAACAUGUAUGCAAAUGCAAUGCACGUGAUGACAUGAUAAGAGAUGCACGAAAAAAAGAAAAACAACACACGGAGACAAAGACCCAACCCGAGAAAUAAAUAUAACUUAGCGCUGGGGACGGCAAGAGUUGGAUACAAAUAUGGAAAGUAUAUCUGGGGCGUUACAGUCCGAUACCACCUAGCACCGGGAACUCUUUUGGGUUCCCUUGGCCUUCUUCUUGGUCUUCUCUGGCACCUUAUAAGGAGCCGGAGUCAGCAUCUCCGUCAGGAAAGCGUCCGCGGUGUCUUCGGGCAGGGGGGCGGACAGUUAAUCUGCUCCGAUGCCUCCACCCAGUCACGUCAAAGGCAUGGGAGCUCAGACCCCGCACAUGGUUAAGCUAUGGGAAAUAAAUAUCCUACCAAAUAUACAGAACUUACCGGAUUCACAGGGCGCUUCGCGCUUAGCCCGCGGUCCUCGGUAAGAGAGGGAGGGACCUCGGCGCCCUUGAACAACACCCUCCAGACGUCCUUAUGCGUCGUGUCGAAGAGCUCGUGUAGACUCUGGUGCUGGGCUGGGUCAAACUCCCAAAAGUUGAAAUUCCGUUGUUGACACGGGAGGAGCCGGCGGAAGAGCAUGACCUGGACUAUGUUGACAAGCUUAAGUUUCUCGCUUAUCAUGUUCUGGAUACACUUCUGGAGUCCGUCCAGCUCCAUCGAUGAACCCCAGGACAGGCUCUUCUCCUUCCAGGAAGUGAGCCGCAUGGGGAUUCCGCAUCGAAACUCGGGGGCCACCACCCAGUUGGUGUCGCGCGGCUCGGUGAUGUAGAACGACCCCGAUUGCCACCCCUUUACGGUCUCCACGAAGGAGCCCUCGAGCCAUGCAAUGUUGGGCAUUUUGCCCACCAUGGCUCCACCGCAUUCCGCUUGUUGGCCACCCACCACCUUCGGGUUGAUAUUGAAGGUCUUUAGCCACAGGCUGAAGUGGGGCCGGAUGCGGAGGAAAGCCUCGCAGACGACGAUGAACGUCGAGAUGUUGAGGAUGAAAUUCGGGGCCAGAUCAUGAAAGUCCAGCCCGUAGUAGAACAUGAGGCCGCAGACGAAUGGAUGGAGGGGAAACCCCAAUCUGCGGACGAAAUGGGGGAGGAAAAUCACCCUUUCGUGAGGUUCCGGGGUAGGGACGAUCUGCCCCGCGGUUGGCAGCCGAUGCGCGAUAUCCGCGGCUAAGUAUCCGGCUCCAUGCAGCUUUUUGAUGUGUCCCUCCGUGACGGAGGAGGCCAUCCACUUGCCUCCUGCUCCGGACAUGUUUGGAGAGAGUUGAGGAGAAGGAUGUUGACUUGGGCGUUGGAGCUCGAGUGCGUAAGAAUGGAUGAGCAAGGAGGAAGAAGGCAUGGGUAGAAAAAGGUGAGACCUUAUCCCUUUAUAAGGGCGGACGAAACUAUGCGCCCCCACUAGCCUGGUAAAACUCGCUUAUCCCCCAAGCGCUUUAAUUGGUGGUGCGGUUGGCUUACCCACGUCCGUAUUGAUGAGAAUCCCGUAAUAAGGAGAACAUGAUCUCUGCUUUGACAAGACGUGUCAAGAAACCGCCUCGCGUUAUGUGCGGGGCUGGUUAAAGAAAAAUGGUUCGAAUAAUUACCGGGCCAUGGCGUGAUGUCGUGCUGCCAAAACGUGUCAGCAGAUUAGAUUUGUGGAAAUAUUAUUCUCUCUACGGUGGUAUGUGGAACUUAUUUUGCAAGGUCGGAGACUAUCCUUGUAUUCAAAUUCUUCCGUGGUGUAUUCGGAGGAGGAACCCACCUUGCAAUGCCGAAGACAACACUCGCACCGGACUCAUCGUCAUUGAAGCCUAGUUCAGGGGCUACUGAGGCAGUCCUGGAUUAGGGGGUCUCCAUACGGCCGGACUAUAUCCUUUGGCCGGACUGUUGGACUAUGAAGAGUCAAGAUUGAAGACUUCGUCCCAUGUCCGGAUGGGACUCUACUUGGCGUGGAAGGCAAGCUAGGUAAUACGGAUAUGUAUAUCUCCUCCUUUGUAACCGACCUUCUGUAACCCUAGCCCCCUCCGGUGUCUAUAUAAACCAGAGGGUUUUAGUCUGUAGGACAACAAACAAUCAUACCAUAGGCUAGCUUCUAGGGUUUAGCCUCUCCGAUCUCGUGGUAGACCAACUCUUGUACUACUCAUAUUAUCAAGAAUAAAUCAAGCAGGACGUAGGGUUUUACCUCCAUCAAGAGGGCCCGAACCUGGGUAAAACAUGGUGUCCCCUGCCUCCUGUUACCAUCCGCCUUAGACGCACAGUUUGGGACCCCCUACCCGAGAUCCGCCGGUUUUGACACCAACAGCCGCCAUGGCCGCAGCACACACCGCCGUAAAGGCGAGCAAUCAGGAGAGCUACGAGGAGUCCUAAUGCUUCCAGAGGGGUUGUCUACAGCGGCAAAGGGCGUUCAAGGUGAGCGUCAAUGAAGGUGCAGCAGCGGCAGGCACCAUAUUGCAGUUAUCCAGCUCAUCGGUAGGCUCCUCCUCCUUUGCCUCUUAUUGAGCGCGCACGGCAGAGGAGAGGCUGCUCUAAGUAGUACAAAUCCCCUUUGUAGUAGUACUAGUAUUUAGGGGUUAUUUUCUUCAGUUCAUCUGACUAUAGAUGUGGUGCAGAUGUACAAUGUACUUAAAAUUAGCUAAUAUAUAUAGUUGAACUAGCUAUUUUAGUACGUGGUUGGAAACAAUUGGAGAAAAGUUUGGUCGGUUCAACUGUCCAGUUGAAUUGUUUGUAUAAAGAACGACUGCUUAAUCUAUGAAUGAAAUAUAUUCUUAUUUACUAAAUUUGAGUUACAAAAAUUAGAUAGUGCUAGUGAUUUUUAGCUGCAUAUUUUGACAAAUGACAGUGUUACAAGGUUGACAAAGGGCAAUAUUAAUAGAUCCACAAAUGUCAAUCUUUCCAGUUUGACAAAUUGCAAUAUACCCAAUAUGACAGCUGCAAAUCAUACCAAAUUGUUUGUACAUGGUUGCACACAGGUCAUCCGAAAAACCGUUUGCGUUGAAGGGAUGUACAAAUCAUGCGUGCCAGAUUUCUCUUGCUUAGCGCCGAAGUCUCGCUUUGCAUACUGUACUCAAUCUGAACCGUUUGCGUCGAAGAGAUGCACAAAUCCUGCAUGGCGAAUUUUCCCUUGGCUUAGUGGGGAAGACCAUGGCUCUCACUUUGCAUAGGGGUGUUCUAUCUAAAAUGCUUGCAAUGAAGGGCUGCACAAAUCCUGCUCGGCACAAUUUCCCUUGGCUUCCUAGGGAAGCUGUCGGUUUUCAUACGGGUGUUCCAUCUAAAACAUUUGCGAUGAGUGUUUUAUAUUUAAAAACCAUUGACGUUUUUUAAAGAAAAUUGUUUGAUAAGUCUGUACAUUCGGAGAGAAAAACACAAGUUUGUUCAAACCAUAUCUUUCAUUCGGUCACACUGCGAAUUUACAUUCAUAUGAUCGAGAUACGGUACUAAACCCAAAAAAACUAAUUCCGAUGGUGGCAGAGACGGUGUGACACGCUGGCGUUGUCGUUGUCGUCCUCCAAGAUGCCGUUGUUGAAGUCUUCAAGGCAACACAAAAUGUUCUUCACUUGGAAAUCAAACAUCAUGUCAUCGCGUGCUCGACGGGUGGGGCGCGGGAGGACGACAACUCGCGGCGUUGCAAGGCAGCGGUCGACGGCUGCGUCCCAUGCUACUGAGGAGGGCACGCGCACGGGCGCGGAGGGUGCUGGCAAACGCACAGGGACCGGUGUCACUAUGGAUGCAAGGGCGUGCACGGGCACGGGCGCUGGCGCUGGCAUGUACAUGAGCUCGCGUUGGUCUGCACACUCGCGGCUUCCAACUCUGCGAUAGUGCUCGGCGACCAGACCGUCAAUGCUACGUGGAUGCUGGCUAGUGCAGGCGUGGGGAUGGGAGCUGGGGUAGGCACGGGGGCAGCAAUCAUCAUGGCCAGCUCAUUCAGGGCCAUGUCCAUGAGGCCCCAUUCCUCAUUUUCUCUCUCCUUUGGCUCAGAGUCAACUUCACCAAACUAGAAGACUAGUGGCAGAUAAUCCUUCUGUGCCAUGGUGUUGGUGGAGGUCCGCGGGAGGGGAAUGGGAGGCGAACAGUAGGGCAGCCCAUAUUAAACUGAGGCUUGGGCACCAUUUAUGGAGAGGAUGCAAACAAGGCAGGGAGCCAUGGAAGUCAAAGGGCUCGCUUACUGGUGAGCCUGUGCGGCGUAUAGCUCGCACACUUCCCGGUGAGCCUGCACAUUGGACUAUAGCUCGCACGCCUCCCGUUUAGUCAAUCACCUGUCCGCACGGCACCUCCUAGCCAUUAAAAGAGUGAGGUGUGGCGUCACGUGAAUGGUUAACAGAACGCACACAAUUUAAAUUAUACAACACAUUUGAGAUGUUAAAGUGGUAGCUAUUUGUUUCAAGAUGCCUUUGUUGGCUGUUAUUCGAGUGCGCCUUCUCUCAAAAUGUACACGAAAAAUACCACAGCAUGUCGGGUGCCAUUCCAUGAUAGCAUGCCAAGUUUCAUGAAUUUCAGACAUGUUUUGGAUUUUCUAGAAUUUAAAAACAAGGUAUGUCAAUGUUUUGCCGGUAAUCAACGGUGCCCUGGUGUUCGAAAUUCAUUCCCAUUUCUUGCAUGGGACCUAAGCAUGCACCCAUGGACACACAUUUGAUAUGUCAACCACUUUUUCUGCACUGGAGCAUGUGCAUGUAGUUCAAAUUUGAAUUAUGCACAUAAAAUGCCUAGAAAACCUAGUUAAUGUAUAAAAA